rnacentral:lncRNA from 1 species
CGAACUAUUAGUUCGUUUACAGCCUUAUUUGAUACCUUGAUAUCUGUCCUUCUAAAAACUACCUGCUAAAUAUCCUUUGUCGUUCAAACUCGUUCAAAUAACAACUGGAAUCGUAUCUUCUACUUUGGCGUUCAAACGACGAAGAAUAAUUAGCCCCAAAUGAUGAAUAGGAAGAAACAGAAGAUAGGGGAAAAUCUUUCUGUUGAGUCACGGAUUUAGUCGGAAAAUCAAAAAGGAUGCUGUUCGGAAAAUCUUUUUUCAGGUAAGUUUUCCUUCAUCUAUUUAAUUAUGUUUCGUUACUGCUGUAGAUCGUAUUUCAUGUUUACUGGUAUAGAUUGUAAUCAGUUAGUUAUGUGUUUAAGGGUUUAGAUCCAAUAGGAAACAGCACUGCCUACCGAAUUCAGCAACUUAACUGCUUUGACUAGAUAGGUAUACUGAAGAAAAGUCUGGUGACACAAAAUUGGCAGAUCAGUAUAUGGAUUCAUCGUGCUAUUAAAGCACUAAAUUUUUAGAGCUACUGAAACAGAGUAGCAAGGUCUUGGUCCUCACUAACAGACCCCAACUUAUUAUGUUGAAUGAGCUAGAGAGAUGAGUAGCAAGGUCUUGGUCCUCACAAAUAUUUGAGCUACUUAAUUUGUUGGUUGAUAUCCAUCUCAGAUGCAAGUUUUUUGUCAAGCUUUUUGUGUAUACAUUUACAUGUUGUGAUGCAUGACAUAUAUAUAAUUAUAUGUAGGGGCUCUAAUUUUUCUUUUCUUACCUCAGUUUAAUCAUUUAUAUGUAUGAGAUUAGUUUUUAUUCUGCAAUUUCGCCAACAAAAGUAAAUUGGAGUCGCCAAAAAAUGUAAAAUGGACUUGCCAAAAAAAUUAGUUUAAAAAAAAAUGGGAUUGUGGGGGUAUCUUACAUGCAUGUAUUAUCAGUAAGUAGAGUGGUCACACAUUCUAGCACAAAUAUUCUAGCACAAAUGUUUGUUGUAAGUUUGGGAGUUAGGAGCAAUAAAUUUGAUUACAACAUAACUGCAACCAUCAAUUAUUGGCAAUAUAUGCAUCAAGUGAUUAAACAGGAUCCCAAAGAAAAGGAAGUAUAUAUAUAUAUAUAUAUAUAUGGGGAAUAUGGAGGUACACAGCCGUGUAACUUUUAAAUUUACAUGGUUUACGAUCGAAGAGUGAAUUCACAAAUCGUGGAGUGACUACUCUACGAUCGUAGAGUGAAAUCACUCUACGAUCGUAGACCGUGUAACUUUAAAAGUUACACGGCUGUGUACCUCCAUUUUUACCUAUAUAUAUAUAUAUAUAUGAAAUUAUUGUAGGAGAAAUAUGAACAAAAUAUAGGAUUCAACUAUCAAAUAAAAGAAGGACAGAAAUAAACUUAUCGAUUUAGAGCGAAUAAUUUUNNNNNNNNNNNNNNNNNNNNNNNNNNNNNNNNNNNNNNNNNNNNNNNNNNNNNNNNNNNNNNNNNNNNNNNNNNNNNNNNNNNNNNNNNNNNNNNNNNNNUUAAUGGUAUUGGUUAUCUAUAAGUGCCGCUAGCUGCUGCAUUUGUCAGGGCUUCGAAUUGGGACUUCUUUAUUAUAUUUGGAUGGACCUUGGAACCAAGUAUUUUUGGGAUAAAGAAUAGAUUGUUGUUCACCUUAAUUUUCGAUGUUGAAUCUAUUAACAUACAGUUGGUGGGAUUUUGUAGCUUCAUAAUUAUGUAUACGGAAUUUACUUUGAUUCUGUUAAUGAAGUACUGCUGUUUAAAUCAUAUCUUAAAGUGACCACUGUUUCUGUUAUAACUUAUCUUAUGCCUUAAUUAUAACUUGAAAACAUUGAAUAAAUAUAUGGUGCAAUUUUAUUGCACCUUUUCCUUGGAAUUGCUUCCUGCAUUUGCUCAAUGUGCACAAGUUUCAGAAAUAAAUAUUUUAUAAAAUGUGUUAUAUCCAUGGUUUUUGCUACAAUAGCAACAAUCAGCUCAAGAAGAUAUGAGUGCAAUUUACUUGCACUUUUUAAGUUUUUGAUUUCUGUCGGAUUUAAUUUGAUUCGUCUGAUUCCUGGCCGUGCAUUUUCUGUGUAGAAUUUACGUGCAAAGUUAUGUUUGGGCUUUGAAUUCUAUGGCACUGUCAAAUUGGCUAAUUUCAGUCCCAUGAUGCAGUCAAUAUAUAGUAAUAAUGAUCAAGUCCACAUACCUGCUAGAAAUAAUGUAAAUGAAAUUCAGAUGUAGAGAGUAAUCCUUUUGGUAAAAUUUAAAGAAAAAGGAAAAACCAAACAAUUGCUAUGAAUAUUUACUGACCAUUAAGCUUUAUAUUAAGCCAUAUUUCCUUUUAUAUUUUCUUUUUCUUGGCUUACUCCAGGACAAUGCAACAUUGUUGUUGAAAAGAUUAAUGAUUAUCUUAUUGGUAAUGGAUAUUAGUUACUUUGGUAAGAGUUUUAUUGUCACAUUUUUCUUUCUUGGCAUCAUUAUAUGCUUUUGCCUAAUUAUUUGCUUUUAAAUGCUUGCAGUGAUGUCACUUAGUGAAAGUUUGCACCAGCUAAACUCAUAAUUGUUUAAGUUUCUACUGGUGUUUCACUUUUUUUUUGGUAUUUCCUUAAUUUGUUUGUUAACUGUUGCCCAUAAUGGACUCUUGGCAGGCUCAAAAGCUUCUUGAUGACAUAUUAGAGAAGAGCAUUGAAAUAGUUAGUGAUCCUAUUCAUGAUUCUAAUAGCAAUUCCGCAAUGGAUGAAGGAUUUGAUGAAGUUUGAUCAUGUAGGUAAGUAUAUCUUUUCAAACAUUACAAUUUUUUUAGUGACGGCCAGAAUAAUUUUGGUGCUUACACUUUAAUAAAUGAUACCGAAUCUUCUGAAAAUCCAACUACUCCAAUUUGCAUACAAUUUAUUUAAUGGCUUUUCAACAGUAAGUGGAUAGACCUCCUGGGAAGAAAAAAGAGAGUAAGCAUAUGGGUCAUGGGUUCAAGCUUGUCAGUUAUUUAAUAAUUUUCUGCCAACUUUGUUGUAAGGUGUUAUACUUGUGAUUAGAAUUUUGAUUUUCAUUCAUUUUGUGUUCGAAGAAGGUUUUAAGUCAAGUUGUGGCUCCAAUCAGUUGGAUAAAUAGUUGUCUAACUUGCACUAAGAAUUGCUUUAAUUACCAAGUUUUGUCACCAUAUACAAAUUAUAUCCUAUUUAGUGAACUAACUUUGGGAGCUUUAACAAGCUCAUCUGAGAACCACUACAUCUAAACACCCAAACAUGCUACCAGGUCCACCAAAUGGUAUGUGUGCCCGUUCUUUGAAACUUUCUCCAGAACACAUGAUUACUGUUGUCACAUUCUUUGGUUUGUAUCUAAUGAGUAAAUGAUAUAUACAUUUUCAGAUGAACUUCAGGGAAAGAAUUUGAUGAAAAAUCAAAGAAGGUUUGCCUCUUCAUCUACAGACUGUUGUUUCUUUUCUUUCAUUCAUUUUACGUUCUAUUAUGCAUCUAUGGUUUAACCUCACUUUUUGUUCGACAUAUUUGCGACAAUGAUGACUCACAAUUUAGACGCCAACUUGAAUCUGUCACGGUGGACGGGAUGGAUAUAAUAACUGCAGCACAAGAUGCUUCUCAGAAAUCAUUAGCUAAAUUGGAAGCUAGAGAUGCAGCAGCAAAAACAGCUACCAAAAAAGGGGAAGAAAGAACCUCCGAGUUGAAAAAGACUAGGGGAGAGAGAUGGCUGCCAGAGAUAUGCAGAUAAAGUCUCAGGGUCGUUAGUACUUAUAUUGCAAUAAUAUAAUGGACCUCUACGCCUUACUUAGAUUGGUAGGUGGCUCACAUAAUCCCCAACCAAGUUAUCUUCGUUAGAUUUUAUAUAAUUCCUAGCUUGCUAUUGUUUAUGCUCUAGGGAUUAACUUGAUCUUCAAUUGUAACCAUUUAAUGUUCCUCCAUUGUUACUUUUUCUCAAUGGAAAUUUUGGCAACAAGUUAUAACAAAUUUGAUGGUGUUUUUCUAACCUUCCCUUCACCUUUUCCGCCUUACAAACAUGGGAUUACUAUGGAAAAUUAUAAUCUUCCUUGGCUUUUUCUUUUUUAUCUUCUUUUUUAGUUUUAAAAACUCACAAACAGGGUGCAAGUGUCACUGAUGGAGCGUGAUUAGCUUGCAUAGUCAAAGGCCAAAAAGUGGAGUUGCUGCGAAAACAAAUUUCAUUUACCUCCUCUAUCUGUCCUCCAUCCUCGAGUAUCUUAUGAAAAGUUCCCAAAUACAGAAAAUGGAUAGCCAUAGUCUGCCUAAGAGUCCUUAUUACCAAAAUUAAUUACAAAUUUUUUUUGACUCAAGGAACCUAGCAAAUUUGAAGAAGAAUUAGAUGGAUUACAAUAAAUCAUCUUCUAAAGGGGCAGUUUGGACGGACAAACUACAAUAAAUGGAUAGCCAUAGUCUGCCUAAGAGUCCUUAUUACCAAAAUUUUGACUCAAGGAACCUAGCAAAUUUAUGUCCUGCCUUUUGUCCAUCUUAGAAUAUGCCCCUGUAUUAUACAUCUUUACCAACUCCAAUGACAUAUCUUUUUUUCGUAUUAAGUACUUCUUCUUCCAAUAACAUAUCUUUUUUUAUUCAUGGAAUGUCCUUAAAAUUCUGAUUUCAUGCCACAUAGCUUUCUGAUUUCAUUUAAUAUGUUUAUGUUCAUUGAUGCAACCACUUACUGUUUGCUCUGAAACCAUCCCAUUAAGGUUACCCAGAAUAAGGUAUCAUGGAACAUUUGUUUGGUAUGAGUAAUGUUUAUCAAAAAUAAUAUGUUCUCAAUUACGCCAUUGUGUACAAUCCGAAAAAUUGUUGUUGCAUAGAUGCUUUUAAAAUGAAAUGAACUCCAAUUCCCUCUGUCUUCAACACUUGUGUUUAUAACGUGCUAACUUUCGCUGUUCUCCAUCUGCAGGCUAUAGCAACUGUCGCUGCUUUGGCAAAGAAGUAUGGUGCUGAGAUAACAGUUGUGGGUAUGUCUUAUCUUUUGUUCUUGAACUGUGAGAUAUAUAGACCACAUGUUGAGAAAUUAGCAGUAUAAACUUUUUGGAAUACUUGGUACAAUAUCUUAAGUAUUAUGUACAGAACUUUUAUAUAUUUGGUCUCUAUACUUUUGGUAAAAUGUGUUUUUUUUUGUUUGAGUGUGUCCUCUACCAGCAAAAAGGUUAUCAUUAAUCUUAUUUUAAAUUAGAUUAUUACACCAUUGUAUUUUCUUCAAUACAAAAUUUUGGGGGACUUUCUUAGAGAAUUACUAUCUUAUAUAUUACAGUCACUACUUGGGAUUAUGUAAUUGAAAGUGGAACUUUUGUCUUAUGUUCUUAGCAACUAAUUUAAUUUAAUUUAUUGUGGGUUUACUGGCUAAAAUUUAAUUUAAUUAGCAUUUCAUUUGAGUACUUCUAUUGCCUCCAUGUGAAUGGAAUAAACUAUGAAUUUUUUUUAUUUGAUUGGUAUGCAAUUCUUAGUUAGUUUUCUUUAUUGUUCCUCUUUUAUUUCUUUGGAGGAUUCCUUAACUUCUUUUUAUUACUCUCUUUUAUCUAAUAAAAUUUGUUAUUUUAUCCGAGAAAAAUUAGAGAUUUUAUUUACUUGAUAUUUUUCUGCUUUGUGGCAUAAAUAUGAGUAGUUUGGUUGAGAGGCUCCGUGUUAGAUCAGAUUGCAAACCUGUUUACAACAUAGAUAAUUCGGACGAUGAUACUGAUAUUGUGGAUGGAAAAUUGAAGAAUGCUCAGAAGUUUGAAAAGAUAGUCAGAACUGAUGCAGUAUGUAGUUCUAUUAAUUAUUUCUCCUGGUUUAACUUUUUGUUUCUGUUGUACUUUUGCUGUUCUUGCUCUCAACAUUCACUUAUAAUUGCUGAUUUCUGCCGGGAUUGAUUAAUUAUGUUUUUUUUGGAAACUCAAAAGCAUUUCUGAAUAUUGUGAAAAUAUUUGAUCGUGUUUGGAGGAUAUGUGAAACACUACAUUUUAGUGUAUUCAGUCGCAGUUCUAAAAAGGGAGUGGAACCUGUGUGCAAACGAUGUAUACAAAAACAUAUAAACAAGUGAACCUAUGCUAUCCACCUACCUGAGGCAUAUAUACAAAAAGCCUCUGCUCUUUGUCUGCUUUGGCAAGAAGUUUACCAACAGAUAAGCUCAGGAUUGUUUUUGUUUCAGUUAAUGGUGUAGUGUACAUCAUACAUGUACAAUACACCUCUACCCUUUUUUUAUAAGAAAAACACUGUUUUAGUAACUCUUACCCAUGAAAAACUGUGUUGGCAUCAGGCUUGUAUCUGGGUAUACAUCUGGAUAGAUGACAACAACAUUGCGGAGUUCAUUGGGAAGAUAUUUAUUGCAGAUUAGCUCUAAUUACUUGCUCCUAAAAUCAUUACUUUUUAUGCUGAUGAUUAUGUUUCUUUCUUGAGGGGCAUUACCCCUGAAACACAGCAAGAUCAGCUGAGUCAGCUGAAUAGGUUUAAUGUUGGUGAAUACUGCCCUGUGUUUGAUGGUCUCUAUACUUUCUGUCAGACUUAUGCUGGGGGCUCAGUUGGUGGCGCAGUGAAAUUAAACCAUGGAUCUUGUGAUAUUGCUAUAUAAACUGGGCUGGUGGACUUCAUCAUGUAAAGAAAUGUGAGGCUUCUGGUUUCUGCUAUGUGAAUGACAUAGUGUUGGCAAUUUUGGAACUCCUUAAAAUGCAUGAGGUUGGUCAAAUUUAUUUUUUCUUCUUUUUGCUAAUAGUCAUGUGCUCCAGCUAAGGAAACAUCUGCAUCAGUAUUCAGUAUGUAGGCAGUGGCCUUUCGAUUUUGUGUUGCUCAAUAUUUGGAAUCAAUUUUUUUUAAUCACGAUAUAGUAAGGUGGUACCUGAAAUUUUUGGUUAUAAACAAGAUUAACUUCCAUUAUUGUUCUAUCAUUUUUACACCCUUAAAUACCUUUCCAUAGUCUGUUUCAUAAGCAUGUGUUCUGUAAUUGAUGGUAGAAUGAUUCACCCACUACAAUGCCACGUUAAUAAAUGCCAAGUCAUUGUUUAAGAAACUCUAGGCUAUUUAUUUAUUUUUUACGUUUUAUAACUUUAGUCUAAUAUCAGUCCUAGGGUUAUCAUAAUUCACUUAUUUGUGCUCAAGAUCACACAAUGCUAAUGGUGGAUUGUCUUUGAUCUUGAUCGAAGAAUGCUUACAUUCCAAAUUCGAGAGUAACAGUCGGAAUGAGAGUGAAGAGAAAGAGAGAAGGACUGAAAGAGCAUGUGUACGUGCAAUUUUGGGUUUUAACAUCAGAUGAUCUCAAUUGGAGUUUUCCACAUACUUUUCCUUUUGAGGUUUUCUGGUUCCAACAAUUUGACUUUGUCCUGGUUUUGUGACUGGAAGUAUCACAUCCUUUAAUGGGAAUCAAGAUGGUUUCUUGAUUCAUGUGGUUUUACAUAUACACCUAUCUGGAAAAUGGUUAGGAAGGUUGGAAAGUUAUUUUUACAUAGAAAUUGUUACUAUGUUGAACAAACCAGUGGUCUAAACUUGGGGUGUAUUAUUAAAGUAUUCUGAUUCCAAAUGACAUUUUAUUUAAUUAUCAGAGGAAUAUGAAAUAAUUCGAUAUGUAUACACACUCGAGUGUAAGGAAGUUUAGUAGCUAAAAUAUUGAUGGUAGUCAUAUAUUGAUUACUUUAUUUUAAUCUUAUUUUUUAAAUGUUUUGGAGAAUAGUACAAUUUGUAGUAUUUACUUUAGUUCAUCUUUUAUAUUGUUGUAGUCACUGUUUAUUCCUCCUCUUGGCUGAAGAUGUCAUGAUAGUUUGACAUCUUUGAAUCUGAUUUUUAAAUCUUGCUACCAAAAGCAACCUAUAUUUCAAGUGUCAAGUCACCAAACUCGAGAAACAAAGUUCAUGACGUUAGUCCCUGUUGUUGGAAACUCAUCCUGCUCCAGUGAUUUCAUACUUGUAAAUUCAAAGUUUGUGUAAUAAUGGUUGACAUUUUUUCAUUUUGUCGUUUGCUUGACAUUACUAAAUUUGGGAAGUUAUGACUUGAUUUAACCUAUUCUGUUAGAAUUGCUGUUGGGCUGGAGGAGUCGAUGGAAAUGAAUAAUUGAACACUGUUCUUGGUGUCACUAUUUGAGCUGUUUCCCUACCCCAUAAUUUUCGAAAUGUGACAACCAUUGCCAUGUAAUGAUGGUGCGACUGGGUAUCUUUUGCAUGAAUUUUUGCCCAUUAAUUUUAAGUUGUCGUUGAAAAUAUGAACCAAAUUUUUAUCUGUGAUUGAAAAUAUGAACUAAAUUAUCCCAUCAGAUUAUUGCUAUCGAAUAUGAUUUGCAUGGAAGAAUAGAAUUUUCAAUCUGUGGCUAGCUAUUCUUAUUGCUUAUUUUAUUUUAUUUUUUUAUGUUUUCAGGUUGUGGAUCAGAAUAAAACCCAAGUGUACUUGACAUGCCUAGGCAAUGGGAAAAGCAACAAUUACACCUUGUCGAGUGGAAACGCCACUGAUGAGGUUGCGCAGCUUUGCCAUUUGAUGUAAUGCACGUACAGAUAAUCUGGUGCAGAUUAUAUAUUUUCUGUAUUAGUUGUGGAAGUUCAAUUUAAUUAGGUUUUGUAGCUCAAAUGAGGGUUUGUACUUGGGAUAAAUAGUGUUACAUAUCAUGAUAUAGAUAAAUAGUGUAUAUAAAUUCAAAUGAAACUAUAUUGAGAAUUGUACAUUCAAGCGAGCACUUGAAACUAAAUUGAAAAUUCGUGUGUUGGCUCUUUCAUCUUUUUUAUGACUGUGAAAAAACUAUAUGCUAAUUUCCCUUUUUAAUUAAUUAGUAAUGUUGCAUAGAGAAUGAAUGGCUACAUAAUCUAUCUAUUAAAUAUAUUAAAAUACAGUAUAUGAUACCAUAGCUUGACACUUGUCAUUUUCAUAAUUCAACACGUGUCCUGCCUAAUUAUUGUUCCUUAAACCCCUUAACAAAAUUGCCUAACUAACAUAAAAAAUGUGGAUGAAAAUAAACUCUAAUUCAUUUCCCUAAAUUUUAGAUUUAUAAUUCUCUAAAUCACUACAAAUCUAAAUUGUUUUGAUAAUAUCAACUGUUUUGGUAUUAUUCUUUGUAAUUUAAUUAUUAUUUAAUAAAAUUACUACUUUAUGCUAUUAAUUAAUUUUUUGGAUUUAUAAUCUUCUAAAUCACUACAAAUCUAAACAGUUAAUAACAUAAUGUCAUUCUCUUAAUUUUUUAGAUUUAUAAUCCCCUAAAUCACUACAAAUCUAAACUUUUUUGAUAAUAUCAACUAUUUUGAUAUUAUCAUUUGUAAUUUAAUUAUUAUUUAAUAAAAUCAUUACUUUAUCUCAACACUAUCCUCUAUGUAAAAUUUGAUCAUCGCGCAUCAAUCUACCAUCUUCUUAUUAUAUUUUAAUUUAUUAAUUGUACGUACAUAUUUAUUAUUAAAAAAUUAAAUAAUCCCGCUGCAACGCGCGAGUUUGUAUCUAGUUAUCAACUAAUACCAAGUUGAUUGAAUUUGUACAUUUUCUUUAAAAAAAAUUAAAUUAAAUUUUGUUAUAGUAAAGUCGGUCAAUUUAAAAUAGUAUCUUAAUUAUCAACUAAUACCAGGUUGAUUGAAUUUGUAAUAACAACGUAACUACCAUCUUAUUUUACUUAGGUUGACCCUCUAGUUUUACUUGAUGCAUACAUAUCAAUAAUCGGAUUGAAUUGACCGUAAAAUUAAGUAAUACUUAUCCGUUUUAAAAUUAAAAAUAUAAUUUAACUUUUAAAAUUGAACAAUUACAAAUUAAAUUUUAAAAUUAAUAUGACUUACAAAUUUAGAAUAAAAUUAACAUUAUGUUGUGAUUAAUAAUUUUUAUUAUAUAUUAUAUAAUUAUAAUAAUUGUAUCAGUUAAAUUUAAAUAAAUUUUAAGUUUAAUAUAUUGUCGAUUGGUCUCAAAAAAAUCAAAUUGUAACUCUAAUUUUGGACUAGAGAAAGUAUCAAAUAACAAGUUUCAGAUUAAAUAGUAAUAUCAAAUAACAGGUUUAAGAUGAUGAUGAUGAUGAUGAUGAUAAUAAUAAUAAUAAUAAUAAUAAUAAUAAUAAUAAUAAUAAUAAUAAUAAUAGUUAAUAUAACUUUAUUAAAUGACCAAUCACAAAAAAAAUGAUAUAUCUAGAUAUUAGAAUUAAACCCAUUUGCAAACAGGAAAAGAAUAAUGCGAGAAAAUUGAAAAUCUGAGGCUGAGUUCGUUACAAUAUCUAAAACAUAUUAUAAUGGUGGUGACAUGGAUAUAUUCUAUUUUAUGACCAUUCCCAAUAUAUUUUGGGUUCGAAAUUUUAACCCAUCACAGAUUUUACCCAACGAAUAGAGAUUUUAUUAAUAUUAGCUUAAAAUUAUACCCAAAUAUUUUAAUAGAUAUUUUAUUAAUAUAAGCUUAAAAUUAUACCAAAAUAUUUUGAUUCAAAUUAUUUUUUGUAUUCUAUGUAGCUUUUACUAUAUGUUUUUACUUUCAAUUGUUUUUAAUAGUGAGAAUAUGAAUAACCUGUAAAUGCACGUAUUUUAAAAAUAGAUUCUCAAUUAGUCAUUUAUGAUAUGGGACUAGCGUUUAUUUUAUGCCCCUUUUUUUGUCUAAGCACGCCCCCUAAACAGCACCAUUGCCAAAACCUAUCUUCAGCUAAACACCUUACCGACUGCAAAUUUGUAAUUUAUGCUGGAAUUAUAAAUCGUAUAACCAUUAGAGUUCUUAUGCCCCAUAAAUGAGCUAGUACUCUAGCUGAAUAUAUAUGAAUCACAAGCGCAAACUCAAAAAAUGCUUGUAAAAUGAUGGAAGGACAAUUGAUACAACUCAAUCCUUAAUAAACACCAAUAUGCAUUUCGGACAAAUAACUACUAGGAAGGUAACAUUUGUAGUGCUGCAAUCAGCUCCUAGUACUCACAAUCUCACAUCAUCAUCAUCAUCAUCAUCAUCAUCAUAUAUAUAUUAAUUAGUUACAUUGCCUAAACAGAACAACAGACAGCCAGAACACUACUAGUAACUUUUAAGCAAAUUUAUCGGUGCCCAGUGGGCAUUGAUAGAAAUAGGGAAGUCCUAAAGAAUACAGACCUCGACCACCACCAGGCUGCCUUUUCCCAGCCCCUUCUCACUCAGCAUCAGCAAAACUACAAAAAGUUGGAAUAAAGCUAAGUUUGCAAUAAUGAUUAGCAAAGUGCAGAUGAAAAACAACCCAAGGGAGAAGAAUUUACCCUAGCUCUGAUAGCUUCAAAUGAGCUUCUGCGUAGUCUGUGAAGAAGGCAUCCUCAUCCUAGAAAAUAUUCACCACCUCAUAUAAGUUUAUUUUCUAAGCCUGCAUCUCAAAUUUAUGUGGUAUACAUUAAGAAAAAUAGAAAAUAUAUGCAAACAAUAUUAUACGCACUGCAGCAUAUUUUUCAACUAGAGGGCGGAAGACUGGGUCCUCAAGUAGAGCUUUGUCUGAUGGCAGCUGAAGAAGGCCUUCCUUCUCUCCAGAAAGAAGUUCCCUAUUUACAAAAUUGGAUUAGAACCAUUGGUUUUGCAGCUCCUGUUUCUAUAAUAAUCCCUUUUAAGCAAUCACAGAAUGAACUAACAGGUAACAAACAUGUUACAAUAUGUAUAUUUAAUAUCAAAUGCAACAUAGAGCCAUCAACUUGAGUAAUAAUAUCCAGUCCGGAUAUAUAGAACUUACUUAAAGUAGGAAUUAUCAAAGAUGAGAGGAUUGGUGGUCCAAGGUCCCUCAAAUCCAGAACGAUCCUUAUGACACCUUCCCUGAGAAACAAUUUCACCAAAUCCAUAAUGUCAUUCACUAUAUGUUGCACCUUGGUGACAAUACAAAGAUGCAAUUGCAAAUAAAUAAGCACCGAUAUUGUGAAAGGGACUCGAUAUCUGAACCCAGAACAUCACAUUAAAACAUUAAAAAUCUCGACAAUAAUGUGAUGCCAAUGCUCAUGAAAAGAACAGCAACACACUAUAAAGGGGCAAGCAAUGGAACUUUAUAGAUAUAUGAACCUACCAGUGUAUGACCACCGGAUAGAGCAACAAUAUCCUUGUCACUGAGACCCAUGUGGCCGAAGACAUCCCUGAGAUGAUCAGCACCUGAAGUGACAACAAUAUAUUAUAAAUACUCAUCAAGGUCAAUUGAAAUAGUUCAUUAGUUGUUUAAAGCAACCCGAAUGUCAUCAAACCUUUAGUGGCAUCUGGCAACCGGCCUUCUGGAGGUGGUUCAGUUGUGUCCUGCAACCAACAGAUUUUCCUUUAAUACUGUUAAUUAAUGUUCUUAAGGCUACAUAACACCUGUACUCUAAGAUUGUCAAUAACUUGCAAAAAACUAUACAAAACUCUACAACUGAAUUAAAAAAAACCGUCUUUGACUAUGUUGUGGCACAAGUUCAGACGAAUCUCAGGCAUAUAUGUAAAGAACUUUAUGUUCAGAGAACAUAAAAGCAUAUAUACAUGUUCAAGUGAAGGUCAUGUUCUUUUUAAUCUAGCGCUUGGAGUCAGUGUCCCCUCCCUUUCUUCCCAGCACAUACACAAAAAUAAAAUGUAUAUAGUUGUAUAUUCGUAAUUCUCGGAAGUGAAGAAAACACAUUCCACCCCAACUCUUACCAUUUUGGAGUUUAUUAUCGAUUUGAGAACUUAAAGUGCCAGCUCAACCUACAUCGUUCAACACCCAAGUGUUGAAUAUGCAACUUUUUUGGUAACUCUACUUUCAUAUAUCCAAACGGCUACUAGCAAAGGUAUGUUUGAUCCAAAAAUCAAAUAACCAGAACCCAGCAAGUAUUUCCUCGCCAGCAAGGUAUUUUAUUAACUGUGAGUAGGAGAUACCACACGUUUUACUUUUCCUAUGUAAUAUCUGGUGCCUAGCCCAACUAAUUUGAUAUAAAAGAUGAUGUUAAGGUGAGUAAUGUUUGGGAAAAGUUUUAUAAUUAAUCUCUGAUGGAAACUUGUAAUAAGCCUAAUUAUUUGCACCGCAAGGGAAUAGUCGCUUCUUUAAUAUAAAUGUAUAGUUGGUGCAAAGGCAUACAUUGCUCAUGCAUUUGUAUAACCCUCAAAUAUUCUCAUACUCGUCUGCAACAUAUGAUUAAUCAAAUCUAUAAUACAAACUCAAUUACCAACAAACACAGUGAAAGUAGUAACCAUACAAAUUAAUUACCUGUCUCCCAGGGUGGAAGGGAAUAUCAGGCCCUCCUGUUACUUCAACAGCAACAACUCCAGCCAACUUCAGUUAAUAAAACAUAAAUCAAAUGAGUAAGUUUCAAGAACUACUAACCAGACAAGUGUUAACCCAAUAUUCAGGAUCAGUAAGUAUAAACACCCCCAACAAAAUAUGGAACUGAGAAUAUUGAAUUAGUAGUUCAAUAUUGAAAUUAAUAUUCUUAUCGGGCAAAAGGUAAUUAAGUCAUGUAUACCUGGUAGAAGUCGGCAUAAGAGAGGAGUGGAAACUGAUCCUUGAUGGGCUCCAGGAGCCUAACAGCAAUAUCAAGACCAUUGUUGGCCUCGUGAGAGAGCUCAUCCGGAUGCUUAAUAGUCCCAAAUGGCCCUCCUGUUUUUGUCUUCACGUCGUAUGUCCCAGCCGAGUGCCAUCUGCAUUCAGCCAACAAUCAAUUCACCUUCAAAAUUAAGCCUCAAUAGUACUAGCUAGCGCUAUAUAUAAAUAAUACUACUACAUAACAGAUAAAGAGAUGGAAGAAAACAACUGAUUAUUGAAUUCCAUCUCCUAGCAAGCUCAGUAGAAUACUUAGUUAAAGAUUUAAUCAGAUACUAAAAUUUACAAAAUUACCGGUAGGGAAAAGGGAAAAGGGAAAAGAGAAAUGUUCGGGAGCGUUUUACCAACCUUCGUAUGGGCCGAAGGCCCUAACACUAGAAGGGGUUUACAAGUCGUUGGGCCGAAGCCCAUGACGAAGUUGACGGUGUUCGGGUUCGGCAUCCAAGUCCUUUGGGCCGGAGCCUUACCUUAGUAUGGUGUUCGGGGUCGGGCCCUCGAGUCCUUUGGGCCGAGGCUCAUAACCGAUGGCGAGUUCGGUUGGGUUGGGCUUGUGCAGUGGGCUUCCCUGCGCACAGAGUCUGGAGUUCUACCCAUGAUCAAAUAAGGUAACUCCAAAGGUAGUGAUUGGAUUGGAAUCCACUUCCACUUUUUAAGGAGAUUGUGUUGGACCCAAAUUAUGGUAACUGCCAUAAUUUAGGAGUCCUAAUCUGACUCGGAGAAGGAUUCUAAGGUGAUGAGGUACUAUAAAUACAAGGCCAAGGUUACGAUUAUGAGGUAAUACAUACUUUUGAGCACUAAACACUUAGCCUCCAUUGUUAAACCUUGUAAACGGCUUGUACUUAUUCUCACACCGGAGCUAUCUCCCGGCGGCACAAGCCGUCAAGCUUCUGUGUGAUCUGUUAUUGUGCAGGUUUUAGCGCGUGAAUUCUGUGAUUGGACGCGCCGGCAAAACUUGGCGUUAACAUUGGCGCUAGAAGGAGGGCUUUAGUGCUUUAAUCAAUCACAACUGACUUUUCCGGUAAGAGGCCAUGGCAAGCAGGGAGAACAGCGCUUCCAACCAGGAAAAGGCAAAAACACACCAAAGCACCCAGGUGAGAGGGUCGGUCAAAGACAGAUUGGGUUCCAGAAUCCAAGGUGAUCAGCAAGAACCAGUCGCUUCCCUCCGGCGGAGGCUCUUCCAUGACAGCCAUCAUACCCCCAACCAGGCUAGUCGUGCGGAUGAGAAUCGUUCUCGGGCACUGGAGGUACAUGGAAAGGACCGAGGAGAGGACAACCAAGAUCAGAGGGAGUUUAUCUUGCAGAAGAAGAUGCAACAGAACAGAGAUGCCAUGAUGGCCUUACGUCUUCAGCAAGAUGAACUUGAAUAGCAGAUGGCGAAGAUGGCUGGAGAGCAGGAAGCCUCCUCAAGACGGCGGCAGGCGUCGGAGCCGAUCCCGGUCACCUCGACGGGGAGAGGCUGAAAGGGAAAAGAGCAGACACCGAAGUUGGUCUCGGGACGGCCGAAGUAGAAGGAGUCGUUCGCCAGACCGAAGAUCGGACUAUCCGGGUAGGUCGGGACAGAGGAGGAGGGACGAGUCUCCUGAAUAUGAGAGGGAUAGACCCCGAUCAUCCCCCCAUAAGGAGUCCGACCCCCUUGCUCGAAGGGUGGCAGAACUGGAAAAGUUGUUGGCGGCGAAGAAUGCAAUGGGAACACCUUCAGCUUGUAUGGGUUCGCCCUUCUCACCCGAGAUAAAUCAUGUUACCGCCGAUCCCAAGAAGAAGAUGCCCCCGAUGGAGACAUAUGAUGGGCUGGGGGAUCCGUACGAUCAUUCCGACGGAUACGACAGACUGAUGACAUAUUACGGACAUUCAGAUGCUGCCAAAUGUCACAUGUUCGCGACCACUCUAAAGAAUAGCGCUCGAGAAUGGAUGGAGACCUUGGCGGCGGGGUCGAUUAAUUUAUGGAAUGAUCUUCGGGAAAAGUUUCAUGCCCGUUUCGGAAGCAACAAGAGAAGGGGAAAGAUCACAGCUUCCCUCAUGCAGGUUCGGCAGAAAUUAGAUGAGAGUCUGGGACAGUACGUCAAGAGGUUCAGAGAGGCUGUGGGGUCGGUAGCAAAGCUGAAUUCCCCACAAGCCCUGGGUUUCUUCACGACCGGGUUGAACAUUGGGAAGUCGAAGAAACUGAUGAAGGACUUGGUGAUCAACCCUCCAGAAGAUUUGACAGAAGCCUUCCACCGAGCCGAGGGAUACAUAGCAAUAGAAGAGGUAAUGGGAAAUUUUAAACCCCACUCCCAGUCUUUCGAGAAAUCCAAGGAUCGGGAUAAGCAUAACUCUCAACGGUCGGAUAACAAGGGGAAGUCUGACAACUAUGGCAAGAAAAGCUACAAUGGGGGAGGUUCGGGUAGCGGACGACCACCUUUCCCAAACAGGAAUGUCAACAAAGUCUACACCGCACUCAACACCGACCGGGCGAAGAUAUUGGAAGAGAUGAGGAAUAAACCUUUCUUUGAACCAUGCCCGACAAUCCCGAAGCCUAGAAAGAGGGGUCGAGACAAAUACUGCGAAUACCAUCAAUGUCGGGGGCAUACGAUGGAGAUGUGUAAUGAUUUGAAAGAUCUGAUAGAGAAGAAUGUCCAGAACGGACAGCUGAUACAAUACGUGGUGGGUCGAGAAGGUUCAGAAGCACCUCGAGAGGAGAACAGCGGGCCGACUCGGGAUACACAGCCGCAACCGAACCCGCAACCCCGAGACGUGAUUGACGUAAUUUCUGGCGGGUCGGUAGGUCGUGUAACCGAACGGAAGAGAAGUGGGCACCUCGAGGCUGUAUUAUCAGUAGCAAGUUCAUCACCCAGAAAGGACAGGGCCUACUCAGGAGUUUUCAUCUCCUUCUCAGACGAAGAUUACCCUACCGACCACAUCGAACCGCAUGAUGGGGCGUUGGUGAUAACGGCACAGGUCGGGCCGGUGGAUAUGAAAAGGAUGAUGAUUGAUAAUGGGUCCUCAGUCGACAUAUUGUACACGCACGCCUACCAGAGAAUGGAUCUAGAGGGAAAAAAGAUGGAGUUAGGAGGAGAGGGUCCAUUGUAUGGGUUCAGUGGGGACCCGGUACAUGUUUCAGGCACCAUUGAGUUGCCUGUCAGGUUCGGCACGGCCCCGCAGCAGGCAGAAGUUAUGGUCAUGUUUUUUGUGGUGCGGGUGGACUCGGCAUACAACGCCAUUUUGGGAAGGCCGACGCUAACAGCAUUACAAGCAGUAACAUCCAUACCACACUUUAAAAUCAAGUUUCCGACACCGAACGGGAUUGGGGAGGUAAAAGGCGAUCUUGACAUUGCCCGAAGGUGCUGUCGGAAUAUCUUGAUUUCUUCAGGGAUCGGAGUCAGCAAACAGAAACAGACAAUGACCAUUGAAAUAGAGUCAUUCACUGAGGGCAGUACCGAACCAAUGGCCCUACCCGCCGAGGAGACGGAAGAUGUGGGGUUAAUCCCCGGCAACACAGAAAAAUUGAUCAAGAUUGGGGCAGGAUUAACAGAACCACUGCGGACAGGACUGGUGGACCUGCUUCGGGUGUAUGCCGAUAUCUUCGCUUGGGAGCCUAGCGAUAUGCCAGGGGUGAGUGAGUCGGUAGCACUACAUAGGCUGCAUACAGACCCGAAGAGAAAACCAGUGAUACAGAAAAGAAGGAUCUUCGCCCCGGAAAGACAGAAAAUCAUAGAUGAAGAGAUCACUAAACUGCUGGAGGCAGGGUUCAUUUUUGAGAUUGACUACCCCAAAUGGUUGGCAAAUGUGGUUCUAGUUCAGAAACAGAAUGGAAAGUGGAGGUUGUGCAUCGAUUACACCGAUCUGAACAAGGCUUGUCCGAAGAAUUUCUACCCUUUGCCUAACAUAGAUCAAUUGAUAGAUGCCACAUCGGGAUACGGCAUGUUAAGCUUCAUGGACGCUUUCUUGGGAUACCACCAGAUUUCGAUGAAGAAAGAUGAUGUCCCGUAGACAAGCUUCAUCACACAUCGGGACAUAUAUGUGUAUAGGAAGAUGACUUUCGGACUACUCAACGCUGGGGCAACUUACCAACGGAUGAUGAACUUCGUAUUCAGAAAGCAGCUGGGCCGAAGCAUGGAGGUAUACGUGGACGACAUGAUUGUGAAAAGUAUGUCAGUCCGAGAUCAUUUGGAGGACCUAGAAGGCUGCUUCGAGACAGUGAGAAGAUACAAGUUGAGACUGAACCCGACUAAGUGUACCUUCGGUUUGGGGUUAGGGAAGUUUUUGGGUUAUUUGGUCAGUAAGAGGAGCAUCGAGGCAAAUCCAGAAAAAAUUCAAGCGAUCUUAGACAUGAGAUCCCCAAAAACAUACAAAGAUGUGCAGAGGUUGACGGGCCGGAUAACGGCCCUUCGGAGAUUUGUGUCAAAAUCAGCUGAGAAAUGCUUACCCUUCUUUGACACUCUUAAGGGGCCAAAGAACGAGAAGAGUUUUCAAUGGACAUCAGAAUGCGAAGACCGUUCCAAGGGAUCAAGAAAUAUCUGUCUUCGGCACCGUUAUUGAUGAAACUGAUCCCUUCGGAACCUUUAUAUUUAUACUUGGCUGCAAGCCCGAUGGCAGUAGGAGCGGCACUGGUAAGGGAUAAGGGAGGAAAGCAUUUCCCAGUAUAUUACGUCAGCCAUGUUCUUAGGGAUGCAGAGACAAGGUACCCGAACCUGGAAAAGUUUGCCUACGCCUUAAUCAUUGCUAGUCGGAAACUCAGGCACUAUUUCCAGGGUCGGCUAAUAGUGGUGUACACGGAUCAGCCAUUAAAGAAGAUUUUGCAUAGGCCGGAGGUGUCGGUCGGCUGACAGCAUGGGCGAUCAAGUUAACGCAGUUUGCUAUAGAAUAUCAUCCCCGAACGGCAAUCAAAGGUCAGGCAUUGGCAGACUUCAUAGUGGAAUGCUCUUUCACGGAACCAGAAGUAAAUACAGUGGCCGAUACUCAACAGGAGCCGACCUCGUGGACUUUAUACGUGGAUGGGUCAUCGACUUCGGACGUCAGCGGUGCAGGAGUCAUUCUAACGAGUCCUGAAGGCUUCAAGGUCCAACAGGAGAUUCGAUUUCAGUUCAAGGCCACAAACAACGAAGUAGAAUACGAGGCUAUAUUAGCCGGACUUCGGUUGCCCGUAGCUUGGAAGUACAUAAGAUAGUUAUAUACAGUGAUUCACAGUUGGUAGUUAAACAGUUAUCAGGAGAGUAUGAGGCUCGGGGGGCAAGAAUGUCGAAGUAUCUGGCCGAAGUGAAAGAUAAGCUCACAUACUUCACAUCACACAGUUGCCAGGGAGUUGAUCGGUCAGAUAAUACGGUAGCAGAUGCCUUAGCCAGGUUGGCAACCACCGAAGCAAGCUCCUUCAACGGAUCGGUGUAUCUGGAGGUCUUAGAACGACCAAGUGUACCGAAGACAGAUGUAUUAGCUCUGGACCGACUUGACUGCUGGCUCACACCUUAUAUCUCCUACUUGUAAGAUGGGAUUCUACCUUCGGACCGAAUCCUAGCGAGAAAAAUCAAACACCGAAGCUCAAACUUCGUCCUCAUUGACGGGGAUCUAUACCAAAGGGCUUUCAGUUCUCCCCUACUCAAAUGUUUAACUUCCUCGGAAGCAGACUAUACACUUCGGGAGGUACAUGAAGGGAUUUGUGGGGAUCACAUGGGAGCUAAGUCACUGGCGCACAAGAUUUUGAGGCAGAGGUAUUAUUGGCCGACUAUCUAUACGGAGGCUAAAGAAUUCGUCAGAAAGUGUCCCAAGUGCCAGUUGAACAGCACCAUCCCACACCAGCCCCCCGAAGAGAUGUACUCGGUCUUAUACCCAAUUCCCUUUGCUGUAUGGGGAAUCGACAUCUUGGGGCCACUGCCGAAAGCCAAGGGACAAGUCAGUUUCGUGAUCGUUGCUAUCGACUAUAUGAUGAAGUGGGUCGAAGCUAAGCCUCUACAGAAGAUCACAGAACAAGAAUGCCUAAAGUUUUUCAAGGAAGGAGUUGUUUACUGCUUCGGCAUCCCGAUGGCAGUGGUUUCUGAUAAUGGCAGACAGUUUGUGGGGUCAAAGUUCGAGGGUUUUCUGAAAGAGUUGGGAAUUCAACAUCGCAAGACCUCAGUCACUCAGCCCCAAUCGAAUGGUCAAGUUGAAGUGACCAACCGAACCCUGCUCAACGGGAUUAAAAGGCGUCUAGACGAGCUAAAGGGUCGGUGGCCAGAAGAGCUGCUCAGUGUUUUGUGGGCUUAUCAGACUACACCGAGAACAACCACGGGAGACUCGUCAUUCAGAUUGGCGUAUGGAACUGAUGCACUUAUACCGGUAGAAAUCGGGUCUCCUACCCUUCGGGUCAGUCAAUACAAGGAGUUAUACAAUGAUGAAGGAUUGAAAAUAAAUUUGGAUCUUCUUGAAGAAGUUCGGGAUUCAGCUCUGAUAAGGUUGGCAAUUUACCAGCAGAGAACAGCCCGACACUAUAAUCAUAAGGUGAAACGGAGGAGGUUUGAAGUGGGAGAUUUAGUCCUCCGGGAGUCGGAGGCAUCAACCCCCCAGAACACCGGCAAACUAAUGCCCAACUGGGAGGGACCGUACGAAGUAGUAGAGGUGCCGAAGCCAGGUACAUACCGGCUUCGAGCAAUGGAUGGUUCGGAAGUAAAGAAAACAUGGCAUGCUGGAAGACUUAAAUUUUUUUACCAGUAAUAGUUAUGUCAUUCUUUUCUUUAUCCAUGUAACCGUUUCAAUCUUAAAUGAAAUAAAUGAAAGUUUUCUUCCGAGAUGUUUAACUUCAUCUAUAUUCAUACGGUUUUCGGUACCCGACCAGAUAAACAUCGGGCUUAAACCGAUCAGAAAGUCGAAGACGAUAUAACUGAUCAGUAAAAGUCGCGGGUAUAACUGAUCAAGAUAAGCCACGAGUAUAACUGAUCGCAAAAAUUUACAAACAAAAACUUUUUGUACUUCAUUCAUUCUUUCAAAUUUUUACAAAUCCCGAUCGUAUAUGAUCCGGACAAAGUACUAAUACAUAAAAAAAAGGGAAGAAGAUUACAGAAGAAAUUUACAAGUCUUUAGGGACAAACUAUUCCUGUGGAUUCCCACCUUCGGCCUCUGAUUCAUCAUCGGAAGACUCGAGGAGAGAGGGGUUAAGGCCAGCAACUAUCAUCUUCGUCUGAGCCUUUUCCCGAUAAGAUUCAUACCCUUCGCCAAACUGGGUCAUGACCUUAUCGUUCAAGGCAUCGGACUCCUCAUACUCGGCAAUCGCCUGCUGCUUAGCCUCGGAGAGCUUUCCCUGCAAGGCGUCGACUUCAGCGGUUAAGGUGGUGUUUUCCCGCAUCACGUGCAUCAUCUUGGCCAUCAUCUCAGAAAACUUCUCCUGCAGAGCGUUAACAACCUUCUCCCAAUCCUUGACCUCUUCGGCUAGAUGCUCCUUCUCCUGGAUCAACUUCUUAGCAUGACCCUCGAGGCCGACAAACUCAUGUUGAAGUAGAGAGUAUUGUUCUUUCAGUUCGUCGGCCUGGCGUUCGGCCUGGGUCGCUUUAUUGCGGGUCUCGGCAUGGAGAUCCUUUUCUUUCUUCAGGUCCGAAGUCAGACCAUCUACCUCAAAAAGCUGCACAUCCGUCAUCAACUGAACCUCUUUUUUGGUAGAUCGGGCAAGAGGCGGAAUGGCUUGGGCCAGGAUGGCGUUGGCCUGCGGCAGAAGGAGUGGGUCAGCCAUGCAGAAUAAAACAUGAAAGUAACAGCAGAAGAUAACCAAUUUGAGCAUUACCUGGCAUUGAGCCCAGGCGUAAGCUACCAGGUACUCUUCGAAAGAGAAUCCCUUGAACCGUUCGUCGUCGCCCGAAAGUUUGAAAUGGUCGAACAGGUUAAAUGGGAAUACCUCCGAAGAACUCUUCGGCCAGCAGGUGGUCGGCGAACCGUGAGAUGAACUGGGUUUGGAUGAAGGUGUUGAAACGGCUACGGGGUCGACCACAGCAACGGACUGUAUGGGAUCCUCAGCAAGCCGUGGUUUUUUGGAUCGGGGUUCGAGAAGAACCUCUUCAGUGUCCUCCGAAUCCUCGAUCACCUCGGCUUGAGUAGGAGGUGGAGGAGGAGUCACCUUCGGCGGAAUUGCCGAAGUGAUCUUGGUGGGGGCUUUUAUGGAAGGCCUAGAAGGCCUCUUUGCCUUCUUCAACAACGCCAUCUUCUCCGCUCGGCUCAUCUUCAGGGAAUUCUUGGUAGGCGGUUAGAUGGGGUCAGCCGAGGGAGGUGGACCCGAUGUGGAGCAGGUAGAAAGUUCAGCGAUCGGUAUGGUCUCCUCUUCACCAUCAUCUUCGAAGAUGGGGAGACGGAUUGGUCCGGCGGCAUUCGGUAGCGGUACUAGGGAGGCAUCUGUACCCUCGGGUUUGAAAAUUAUCACUGCACAAUAGAAAACGAGUCAGAAAAACAAGUGAAGUUAAAGGUAUUCGGAGGAGUUUCGGGAUAGUACACUUACACCCGUGUUUGUACAACCAGGCCUCGUUGGAUAAAACAGCCAAACUCCAUUCGGUCUUGCUCCACUUCUUGUAAAAAGUCUUGAAAGCAUCGGCCCGAUCCUUGGGGAACUUGGACACUUUGGCUAUGGGAUCCUCGGGAUGGGCCCAAUGAGAAAGAAGUUGGAGGUCGGUUCCCUUGGCAAAGAACCACUUGUCGUGCCACCCUUUGUUACUCGAAGGGGUUUUGAUGAGGACGGAACGGGUGGGUCGUUUGUUUAGCUGCCGAAGGCUAGGUUCUUUCGACCCACCAACGGUGAAUAAGGCGGAAAAAAAAUCGAGGCCAGAUGUGACCCCCAUCUCCUGGCACAGGGCUAUGAAGGAUAUCAGGUGGAUGUACGAGUUCGGCACAAGCUGUGCGAAUCCGACACCCACGAAGCAGAGCAAAGAAGAGAUGAAUUCGUGGAGUGGAAACCGAACCCCGUACUUCAGCAGAUACAGGGGAACGGCGAGCCAUUCACCCUCGGGCCUCCAGAAUAUUUUCUCGUCGGGUUUCGGUACCCGAAGCUUAUAUUCUUUGGGGAUAUUGAAAAGAGUUCGGAUGUCGAAGAUUUGAGAAGGGGUGAGGGUGGAAGGGGUGUGGAGAUGGGAAAACUCCUCUUCGGAGUGGUAAGCGUUUCGGAUCCUGGCCUCGGAACUUAUCGGAGUGGGGAGAAUGGAAGGAGUUGCAGUUUCGGAGGCUGGUGCCGAAAGUUCCACCGGAAUAAGAUCGGUGGAAAGAAUAGUGGAAGGAAUGGUGGUAUCAGGGAUGUUUGGAGUUUGUUCAGUAGUAGAAUCAGCCAUUGCAGCGAAUGCUAACAGAAAUGAGUUUAAAAUCAAGGAAUAAUAAAGAACGGAAUACUCACCGGAAAUCACCCUCGCCGGAAAAUUUGAACAGAGGUUUUAAAGAAGAGAAGUCUAGAAAAAUGACAGCGAUUGAUGGAGAGGGGUUUUUAUAGGCUGAGUGGCACAAGACCCAAGGGCGGCUAUUUAAUGCCCCAAGUGGGUCCAGGCGUGGAAAGGUGUGCAACGUUUCAGAGAUCGAGGGCAGACCGUUUGGGUUCCCCAGGCAACUCAUCAUUAGCUGUCGUGACUCAUCGAAUUCCUGACCUUUCAAGUCUCUAAUUAUAAAUACAUUAUAACAAGAGACUGGAGGGCAAUGUUCGGAAGCGUUUUACCGACCUUCGUAUGGGUCGAAGGCCUAACACUAGAAGGGGUUUACAAGUCGUUGGGCCGAAGCCCGUGACGAAGUUGACGGUGUUCGGGUUCGGCAUCCAAGUCCUUUGGGCCGGAGCCUUACCUUAGUAUGGUGUUCGGGGUCGGGCCCUCGAGUCCUUUGGGCCGAGGCUUAGACCCGAUGACGAGUUCGGUUGGGUUAGGCCUGUGCAGUGGGCUUCCCUGCGCACAGAGUUUGGGGUUCUACUCAUGAUCCAAUAAGGUAACUCCAAAGGUAGUGGUUGGAUUGGAAUCCACUUCCACCUUUUAAGGAGAUUGUGUUGGACCCAAAUUAUGGUAACUGUCAUAAUUUAAGAGUCAUAAUCCGACUCGGAGAAGGAUUCUAAGGUGAUGAGGUACUGUAAAUACAAGGUCAAGGUUACGAUUAUGAGGUAAUACCUACUUUUGAGCACUAAACACUUAGCCUCCAUUGUUAAACCUUGUGAACGACCUGUAUUUAUUCUCACACCGGAGCUAUCCUCCGGCGGCACAAGCCGUCAAGCUUCUGUGUGAUCUGUUAUUGAGCAGGUUGUAACGCGUGAAUUAUGUGAUUGAACGCGCCGGCGAAACUUGGCAUUAACAAGAAAGAAAUCAAAUAACAAGCACAUGAUCACUAUAACAACAUUAGUUUAACUAAUUAAGUCACAAGUAUAUCUCUAAUUAAUAUUAAGCGCAGAGCUGAGAGAAAUAAUUACGCCAAACGAAGGAUAAGAGGAGCGCAGUUCUUCUCAGCAAUGAAACCUCUGAGCUUCUUCUUGCAUUUCUCAACUGCUUUUUGGUACUCCUCGCUCAUUGUGGGAUAACUCUUUUUUCCCAUGCGAUCGGAUUGAUUUUCUGUAAAAUCAAAAGAAUUUUAAGCAUAUUGUUAUUCACAUCAAAAGAUCAGAAAAACUGGCUAAAAAUUUCAGUUCUACGCAUAUAGUUUUUGAUUGUUUUUUAAAAUUUAACAGACAUGUAGUGUAGUGUGUAUAUAAAAAUAUACCAGCAAGUAUGUAUGAAGCAAGCAGAGUGAGUAUAAUAAUGAAAUUGAAGCACAGAACUUGACGACCCAACUGGACAACAGAGAGAGAGGGAGGGAGGGAGAAUAUAAUACUAGUAGUACUAGUCUAAUUAACAAAACUUUAACUGUUUUUUGAAUUUUUCGUUCACGCUAAUAAAUAAUUAGAAUUAUCUAAAAUUUGAGAUAAAUUUUAUCGUCUACUAUAUUCUUUUUAAUUUUAAAUGAUAAAAAAUUACUUUCUCCCGCUCUCAAAUUUUUCUCUGUUUUUCCUCACCCAAACUCACCUUCUGCCUCUUACAAAAUCUUUCCUCUCUUUCAUACGUAGUGCCAAAGGCACCGAUAGUAUGACUAGUAGUAUAAUAUAGCAGGAGUGUCCGAUACGAGAAUGUUCUUGAAGCCUCCCCUCCAGUGUAAUGUUGAAAAUAAAUAAAAAUCAACGGCAGAUUUUAAGUAGUUGAGUACACGUGGUAGUGGGCUAGUGGCUUCAAUUUUAUCUUUACUUUAAUUUUAUUCCUUCCUAAACUCACCCGAAAUAACUUUAUUUUAGUUUUAUCUUUCUUGCUUCUUGUAAUGAAUAAUGAAAGAGAAUAAACUCAACCACAAUGACUUUAAUUUUAAGAGAAUGAUAUUAAGUAUUUUUUAGCUCAUUUAUUAUUUAUGUGAAAAUAUUAAAAUUUUAUAUGAAAAUAUUAAUUUCGUUAUUUUUAUUAUUUUUUAUUCUUAUAAUGAAUGAGAAUAAACUUAUUUAAAAUAAAAAUCAAACAUCAGACUUAAACGGAAUAGUAUUUGGAUCUUAACAAUUAAAUUAAAAUUUAACCAACAAGGACGAACUUAGUUAUUUUUAGCAAACCAUUCCCACAUAAUUAAUUUCAUAAAAAGAGCAAUGAGAACAUGUAAAAUUUUAAAAUUAAGGCUUUUAUAUAUUAAGAGUAAUGAUACAGACACAAAUUAUUUUAUAAAUUGCUGAUGUGGCAUAUUUUAAUUUAGCAUAUUGAUCAAUAAAUUAUUUUAAUGUAAUCUUCGACCCCACACAAUAUGUUGAGGUGUGUAUAUAUAAAAAAUAUGGUAUUCAUUUAUAUUGUUAUAAUAAUGAAAACAGAAUUUACUACUAUUAUUUAUAAUACCUCCCCAUUCAGAUAGUGACUGAUAUUGGUAAUUAUUUUUUCGUUUUCCCCGAUGAUGAUACCAAAUUAAGGUCACCUAAAAUUUCUUUGUAUUUAUUUUUAAAGGGUGGAGUAUAUUACUGCAUAUGCAUGCCUAUAUGUGGUAGAAUUCAAAAGAGUGUUGAUAUAUGCAUGCUUUAACAUUUUUUAUAAGUGAAAAAGAUUAUAUUAUCCUUAAUAUAUAAAAUCAAUUAAUAAAUUUACUAUCUAUCAAUUUGUUUUUAUAUUUAUCAUAUAUCAUUUUUACAUGAUAAAACGAGUAUAAACCUUUCAAAACAAUAUCCUCAACCUAUGAAAUUAAACUACUAUAUUAAGCUAGUUAUUUUCUUAAUUAAUAGCAUUCUUUUUAAUUUGAUAUAUUUUAUAUAAUAAUUUAAAUUAAAGACUUGAAUAUAUAAAAAAUUAGAAAAAAUAAAAAUGAAAAGAUUUAUAAAUAAUAACUCUUCUUCUUCCUAUAUUUUAAGGCAUGAUAUAAAAUUUAGCUUGUUAUCAUAUUAAAGUGAUACUCCACAAUAUAGUCAAAUUGGUCCCCAAUUUUUUUUUAUUAUAUAUUUUGACUUGAAAUCAAUUCUGAAUUUUAAAAUUCAAAUUAAAUAGGAAAUUAUUUGGUCAACAAAAUUUCAAAUAUUGUAAAGUAUAAAAUAAUUUCCAAUUACAAAAUUUUAAUUUUAGAAUAUAUAUAUAUAUAUAUAUCAAAAUUUAGAAAUUUGCAAAUUUAUUACUACCAUGACUAACAAAAUAUAUUGUAAUAAUUUACAUUUUAUGAAUAUAUCUGGUAGAGAUUUAUUAGUUCUUUAUUUUGAGUUUUAUGUAUAAUAAUAAGCUUAAGGCUAAAAUGGACAUGUGUUAAAUGAUUUAAUUGAUAUUUUAUUAAUUAAGGGUAAUAUUUUCCCUUUAACAUAAAAGAGGGAAAAAUGAAUUAAAGGUGUGCAUAAAAUUCAAAAAUGAGAGCUUCAACAUUGUGAAUUUUAAGAUUUUAUAUUAAAAAGUGAAAAUAGAAAAGAAAGUUAAAAAAAUAAAUAGAUAAAGUAUAAACGAUCUUGUUGUAACGGGGAGAAUGGAAAUAGUCGGUCUCGCUCCCUAGUCCGAAUUAUAAAGGUGUGAUCAGACCCAAGGGUUGAGCCCGCCUAGCUCCGGAAAAGGCCCAACAAUAGUUGAAACUUGAAAGUUACAGCCCAUAUAUAAAAAGCGAAAGGCAAGUUAAAGUCGCAGCUAAAAUUCAAAAAAUAAUGGUAGAAUGACACUUCCAUCCCUUUAUGUUUUCGCUCAUUUUUAAAGUCGUUUCUAAAAUUUAUUUUUCAUCAAUUAGAUCUUUAAAGUGACAUUUUUCAAUGUUUCUGUUUUUUUUUACCCGAUUUCACCAAACCCCGACAAAAUUUUGACCCGGUCCAUAUUUGUAAGGGUAAAAGUGUCUUUAACAUUAUGAGUUUUAUAAAUAUAUAUCAAAUUACGAUAUUUAAAAAUUAAAAAUCAAAAUACCUAAUUCAAAUUUACAUAUUAUUAUAAUACCAAGCCAAUUAUUAUAAUUCAAUUUUUUUAUUACACAUAUUAUUAUAAUACUUAAUUCAAAUUUACACAUUAUUAUAAUACCUAAUUCAAAUUUGGGAUAUUUACACUUUUUAGUAUAUUUUUAAAAAAAAAUUACAACAAAAGUGCAUCCAUAAAAUAUUUAUAAAAUUAAUAUAUUUUUAAUAUUUUAUUUACAAAAUCAGUGUUACUCUUCAAUUCUUUCCCUGCAAGGCUGCAACUCUGCUGCAAUUGAGAAGAACAAGAUCUCAGCUUCCACUUUUUCUUUCCCAACUGGAUUUCUCUUAUCCAUCCAACACAAAUGUCUCUCACCUCACCUCUUCUGUAACUCCAUUUAUCCCAAUUCAGAUCCCACAAGCUCAGCUCUCCAUUCCUCCUUGGCUCCUCACCAACGUCCGUCCUCAACCCCCAACUAGUGCUCACUUUCCUUCCUCCAAUUCAAGCCAUGAAAUCCUUUCAAGGUCGAGUUGGUCUUGCAAUUCGUCUACUGUAGUCCUGUCGGCGUUGCCAUUGCCGCUGUCUGCUCCGUCAUAGUGCAGUUUGGUAGCCAAACCUUCAUACAAAAUUAACUAAUUCAGUUUUACUGAGUUACCAAUUAAUUAUAAAAAGUUAAGAACAGUUUUCAAGUGUUAUUUGGAUUUGUUUUCUUCAACAUGUGCAACCAUGAACAGUUUUAUUAGGUUCUACAAUUGUCGUCGUCGGUACAUUUUUUUCCCAUAGUGCAGUUGGUAGCCAAACCUUCAUACAAAGGUAACCAAAUCAGUUUUAUUGGGUUACCAAUUAAUUAUAAAAAAUAAUUAAGAACAGUUUCUAAGUGUUACCUGAAUUUAAUUUCUUCAACAUGUGCAAUCAUAAAACAGUUUGGGUUCUGCAAUGGUCGUCGUCGAUAUUUUUUUUUUUCAUAGUGUAGUUGGUAGACAAACAUUCAUACAAAGGUAACCAAUUCAAUUUUAUUGGAUUACCAAUUGGUAGAAGGCAGCGGUGGAGAAGAUAAAGAGACGGGUGGUUGUGUAGUAGUGAGAUCGGAGGUGAAAAUGAGAAGAGGACUCGGAAUCGAAGAAGAAAAUGAAAGAGAAUAAGAAUAUUAUGAGUAGAAUGAAGAGAGAGAAAGUGAAUAAGUACUUUCUCUCUCUAAAUAGAAUGUCCACUGAAAUCGCCAUUGUCAUUGUUGUUGGUGCUCUGUAAAUUGUAGAGAAAGAAACAGAGAUAGAAGAGAAUGGUAGAGAAUUAGUAGUAGUAGUAGUAGUAGGUGAUGAUGGUAUGUGAAGUCAUUGUUGUUAGUGCUCUGUAAAUUGUAGAGAGAGAAACAGAGGUAGAAGAAAAUAAUAGAGAAUUAGUAGUAGUAGUAGAUGAUGAUGGUAUGUGAUUUCCUUCGGUUAAUUAUAGCAAAAGGACUGAAAAAAAUUUAAAAUAUUUUAUUAUUAUGUUGCACUCUUUUUAUAAUUAUUUUAUGAAUACACUAAUUUUAUAAUUAUUUUUUAAUUAUUGUAUAGUAGUGUAAAGAACUCUUUAAAUUUUCACAUAUUAGUAUAAACGUGGUUGUUGUAACGGGGGAGAGCGGAAAUAGUCGGUCCUUUGAAACUUAAAAAGUUACGGCCCAUAUAGGUAAAACCAAAAAACAAUGGAGCGAAUGAGGGGAGAGUUCACCCUGCCUGAAACAUACAGAAUAAAUGAAGUGUAGGUUAAAAAAGAGGAUGGAGAUUGAAACUUGGGUGGUAGACCGAGGAGAGGAGUGAACCACUCCCAUUCUAUUAAUGGUUUAAAUUAAAUAGUGAUUGUUUGAUGUGACAAUACACCCUGUUUUUAUAUAUGUAUCCAAAUUAUACCUAAAAUUUUUAAUGGAAUAAAUACUAUACAUUUUUUAAAAAUCACAAAAAAAAAAAAAAAAAAAACUGCUCCGGUCCAAUAAUCCUGUCUAGUAAUCCUGUCUGUGUAGCAAAACUCUUUGUAAAUAAAUAACCUAACAAAGUAACUCAUCAUUUGCUAAGCUAGGGUAAUGAAUCACAUCAUUAUAAAAAUAAGAAAUUGAUAUUUUCAUAAAACUCCUUCACACUAAAAUAAUAAACGGAAUCUAUAUUUAUGUGACUAAAUGAGUAAGUGAGAUCAUGUAAAAAUAUCAAUUCCCAAAAAAUACUCAUCCCCUUAUGUAGUAAUGCUUAAUUAGUUGUUUUAAGAGUAGAUAUUCUCCUCUCAUUAGAUCCAAUUUCUUUGAGAACCGAAAAUAUCGGUUUCUAUGAUCAAUCACCAACAAUUUCCAACUCAAAAAAAAACUAGGAAAAGACAUAAAUAUCCAAGAUAUCAUGUUGUUUCUCAAAAACUUGAGUUAUGGUGUUCCUCUUCUCUUAUGGUCAAAAGUUGUGGACUAAAGUUGAACUACAUUUUGGUAGUUGUAUGUUAAUGUCCCAUAUAUGUUGCCUCGUAGGUUUUGUUAAUAAUUUUUCACCAGCCGAUUAUCAUUUUUGGAUUCAUGAAAUUCAUUUUUUUGUUAAAUUGAUCGAUUAACACACAUAGAACCUCGCCACGUGUCAAAAACUCUAACUUACCUAAAAACAUAAUUUAUGCUGACCACUUCCAUCAUUUUCACACCUUCAACUAAGACCAAGUUGGGCAAGUCCAGUCCGGCCAUCAAUUCCCAUACUCUGUUGACACGUUGAAGCAGGUGCAAUAUUUUUUAUAAACAUAUACUGUGUUUUCACUGAAAAGUCGAGGCAGGAAGGCAGACACGACUACGCAUGAGUAUGAUGGCGUACUUGUAUAAUAUGGCAGACAAAAUGGAAGUGGAGAGAGAAUUAAGAGACUUGUUUGCUUUUUUUUUUUUUGGAUACAUUUCUUGAUUGCUUUUUUUUUUUGGGCACAUUUCUUGAUUGCUUUUCUCAUUAAGUAAGAUCAAAAUAGGUCCAGAAGAUUAAAUACCGUUGGUUUCCGGUACUACUACUAGUAUCAGAAAAAGAAAAAAAAACUCCUGGAAACUGUACUAUAUAUAUAUAUAUAUAUAUUAGUAGGAGGCUAGCUAGGAUUUUAGUAUGCCACCAAUUUUCGAGAAUAACAGUAACAACACUGGGCUCUGCUCAAUGCACCAAUGACCAAACGUUAUAGUACUCCAUAUAUCCAUACUACAAUGAGUAGUCCAAGUUAUUGGCCUUGAAGUUAGAAGAUCAGUUCAAAGACAGUAAAACUGGAAAAGUAAGAAAGAAAAGACAGUGAUAGAUAUUCUCUCUCUCUCUCUCUCUCUCUCUCUAUAUAUAUAUAUAUAUAUAUAUAUAUAUAUAUAUAUAUACAAUAUACUAUCAUACAUCUCGGUUCACACUAUAAAAUGUCGGCCGGUCACUCGGUCUACAGAGAAGUACACUGUACACAGUACAUCAAACAGAGCUUUUCACAUUACCCAUAAUACAAAUAAUACGGACAUAGUCUUCGUCUGUUCUUUUAUUAUGUCUUGCAGAUGUAACUGUUGUUAAAAGCAAAGCCGAGGAUUGCGGAGAUACCAAGGACAAAGGAAAGAAUGAAAUGAAACCCCCACUAGUACAAAAGUGGCAUUCAAAUUAAGUGGCCUACCAUAUUUAAUAAUUAAUACUAGUACUAUGAUUUAACCAUAAAUUGUUUUCAUUGCACCAGGGCCCCCUCCCUCACCAUCCAAGCUGGAUAGACGUGAAUUAUAUGUGGCAGGAUUUGAUUGGUGCAACUCUGUUAGGCAUCUUGGUCAGGAGAAAAGGACAUUAAUAAUUAUUCGGAGGCCUGAUUUUUCUUUAAAGUACCUUUAGUUAGAAACAUAAUACGUACAGUUGUAUGGGAUAACAAAUCCGGGAGUGCUUAGCAUGCCUAGAUGACAAACUUAUUAAAAAAUGAACUUGAUUCAACAAAUUCAUUCCCAUUCAAUAGGAAUGGUUGGGGAAAGGAGAAGAUUUAAUUGUCCAUAUAACAGUGGAAAUCUUCUUUACUAUGUAAAGCAGGAAUUCACUGUUGUUACAAAAAUAACUUGUCUGAAAAUAGACGAUUCCCAAAGAGAACUUCAGUGCAACACAAAUGCACACCAGACCUGCUGGUGAGACCAAUCUCAAUGUUUCAAUGUUCCAGUCUUAAGCAGCAUGAUCGAUGUGAACAAAAACAAAAGCUGCGAGUACUAUACUAAUCCAUGUCAACCCAAGUAAGGGGUGUAGUAGAUAUAGCAUAUUUCGCACAAAAGAAAGGAUAGCAAGUGUAAUGCCUAGACACGUGCAAUCAAAACAAUUUAAUUCAAUUCUUCCUAUCCAGCUAACUUCUUCCUAUACGGACAGAGGAAGAAGAUUUGAAUUGUAGUGGUGUGAUGUGGUGUUCUACCUGCUUAUGAAUUCAGUACCUACUGUAGUAAUGUAACAUGUUUGUUUGCGUAGUGAUGGUGGGGGAUGGUCAAGUGAGGUUGAUAAACAGCAGCUGAUGAAGCAGUGAUACUUGAAGUAGCGAAUCCUGAUGAUGCUGCAGUAGAGAAGAGUGGCACUGGAGUAGCCCCACCAUAAGCUCCUUGGAUAUGCCUUGUCCAAUUUGGCUGGGAAUCAACUUCCAUACUCUUCUCUAUUGCUCUUCCCUGUUAACAUUAUAGAAGAUGGAAUCUUUUGUCAGCCACUUAUACAUGUGCGCCUCGUCCUUGAAGGAUAAUGAUAGCCAUGAAAAAGCAGAUGGACUUAAUUGGUAUUUUGUUAGGAAAUUUUUGAUAAAAUUGACAGAGCCCGUCCUAAAGCUUGAUAAACAGCAAACAACACGCGUUCUUGAUGUUCAAGUUGGAUGAAGGGUACUGUUGUGAGCUUAUUCCUAGAACUAUGUGGUAACAAAAAUUACAACUUUUGGUAGUAAGCUAUUAGUAAACACUAAUGUAAUGGUAAUGUCUGACUAGAAAGAAGCACCACUAAAGAUCUGAAUAUAACUGGAUAAAUAAGACCAAAAUAGUCAUACAAUUGAGGCAACUUAGACAUGGGUAACCAAAGUUGUACUUUUACACUUCCCGCAAAAAAAUUAAUUGGAUAAUGUGCUUGAAAGAAAACAAUACCUCAUAGAUGGGAAAAAAACUUGAAUUCACACUGCUCCAAAGAGGAGGGGGGUGCUCAGACAUCAAAUCUUGGCCAAGAGGCAGUUGAGCUCCCAUUAUUGAAGUAGAACUCUCAUUCUGUUAGAGAAUUAAGAGUAGAUUUCUGAACAAGCUUUUAUCUAAAACCUUGGACUAAAUUAUUAAAAAAUACUUUUAAGGAAUCAAAUUUGGUGUAGAAAGAAAGAUUCACUAAUAGUACAUUGGUAAACAAUUUAGAAUUUACCCUAGAUUUUCUGGCCUCAGGGAUGUCAUCCAGGUGACUCUGGAAAUUAAAACUCCCCGAGUUAUCAGUUUGUUUUGGGCCAUCAUCAAAAUAAGGGGGAGCAAUACCCAAGUUCAAAUCCAGAUUAUGGCUGCUGCCUGCAAAGAAAAAAUAUUAACUGAAUUAUUAUGAAAUUAUUUAGAUAGAAGGAUGGUUAAAUAUAAUAUAUACUUUUUCCAAAGAAAACUGAAUACAGAGCAUGUGCUACCUCCAGUAUCAGCUUCAGCACUUAACUCGCCAUCAUAUGUGCUUGGAUCAAAAUUGGUUACUGCUUCCCUGCCAUUGCAUUUUAUUGCAGCUCUGUCAUAUGCCCUGAUAACAUAGCACAAAAUAUUUUGAAGUGAAAAGUAGACCUUGGAAGUCAAGGGAUGAAAAUAAGUGAAAUUCACAAUAAGCUAGAGAGUAAAGUUAUGAUGAUGGGAACCUUGCAGCUUCCAUUUCGCUGUCAAACAACCCAAGAUAGAUAUACCUGCAAGCAAAUAACAUAUUACGACUGAAAAACAAAUAACAAAUACUUUCAGCAGGAAAUUAAUUGAUAAUCAAGUAUCUAGUUUAAAUUCAGUGGCAUCACUUCUUGCCAAGAAACUGUCCCAUUCGAGCUUCCCAUCGUCCACAUUUGUGCAGGGUAACUCCCCGGUAUUUUGAGCUUCCUCUGGAAAACCCAGUGCUCUGUCGACGAAGUAUAUGUACAAAUUCUUCCUUGGUCAAGUUCUUCAUCUGUUUAAGAAUUAAGAUCAUUUCAGUUCCUACUACAAACCACACCUUCAGAUUCAAACUAUAACCAACCUUCUUAAGAUCUUCAUCAUAAUCAUUGCUACUGAAAUUGAUAUCAGCAUCAACUCCGCGGAACUUAAUUGCAGCUCGAUCAUAUGCCCUAAUGUCACAAAAAUUUUAGUAAAUUACUUGCAUCACAAUAUAUACAACAUUUGUAAGAGCUUCAAAUUAUAACUACUGUUACGUUUCCAAACAACGACUGUUGUAUUACCUAGCUGCAGCAUGUGCAGUGUCGAAUCCCCCUUCAAAUUCAGAUUAAAUAUUUCAAGAAAGAAAACAGUCAGCAUAUAUACAAAUGAACUUAAAGUUUAUAGCAUAAGAAAGAAAAAUAGCCCAAUCAAACUUUUAGUACAUAUUAGCGUACCCAAAUAAACUUGUUUCCCACAAUCCCUGCAAGGAAAACAAAAUUUGGGAUCCGAUUAUAAUCAAAACAUGACAACAGCAUGUACAAGUAUAUAUACUCUACGCAUCACAAAGCUCCAAUGCACUUCAUAUCAAAUAAGCUAUUAUAUGGAACUUCGUCACCCAAGCUAUACUUUUGUAGUGCUAGAAACGAUAAGUUCAAACGUGAUAAAGAUUAAAUGUAACAAUGUAAGUGAUGAAUAGUUGUAUAACAAUUCAAACAUACUAAAGUACUAGCAAUAUCAAAAUGUGCUAGCAUAAACUUAUUUUCCAUCACAAUAAACACAUGUACAUAAUAACUAACCAAAUAUGCGAUUCCCAUCUUCCUGUUCUCCGAUAGAAGGUUACUCCCCGGUACUGCGAACUCCUUGACCUAGGUCCUCUUCUACUUUUCUUAACCUGCUGCGGCUGCAUCAACUCUCUCUCCUCCAUCGGAACACCGUAUUUUCCCUCCUUAAACGAAAGAUCCAAGCACUGCUGUCGCAAAGCCGGCUCUACUCUCGUCGGAAAAAACUGUUUCGUAGUAAAAUCCGACCUAACGACUCGGUUCUCACUCUCUUCCCACUCAUUACAGCCUCCAGUUGUUUUCAAUAUGUCAAAAUUAUACGCAAAGCCAUCGCGACAAAGAUUUGAGUACUCCUCGUCGCCAGCGUUGCUGGACGUAUCGACAUUGACGACGGAGGAAUUCGAAGUGCCGGAAUCAUCCCUCCGAACGCCGGAGAGUUCGAGAAACUUCUCCGUCACCGGUUCAGAACGAUCGUAGAUCGAAUUUGAAGGAAAACAAGUACGAUUGAGGUCCAGCAUCACUCCACUCCUCGAAUUCUCCCUAAUUUCUCACUAUUAUAUGUAUAGCUCCCUAAUUUCUCACUAUUAUAUGUAUAGCUAUCGGAAAAUAUAUAUAACUGAAACAAUGGAGCAGAUUCAAACAUGGGAGAGAGACUGAACUGAUUUGAGAUUAUGUAAGUAAGGAAAAAUAAGGAUGAAGAAAUGCAUUUCAAGUAUAAUCGAAAAUUUGAUCGGCGACGAGUUAAGAGGAAUAUGUAUAUCAAUUGUCGGUUUCCAUUGUUUGUUUUUGGAGAGAGAGAGGGAACGUUUCUACUUUCUCGUGUCUUGGUUUUAUGCAUUACCGGAGAAAACUACUGUUGUUUCUGUUAAAUGAAACUAUAUACAUAUAUAUAGACUCCGCAUCUUAACAUCACCCCUUAUUCAACUCACUCGAGCUCACCUCUUUAACGACGGAUCCGACGACGAUUCGAUUACUUUUAACGACGUUAUAUGUUGUCCGUCGCUAAAAGUAUAGACGACGAUUGUAUAACCGAACUGUCGCCGGAUCCGCUGCUAAAGGAGGAGUGAGCUCGGGUGAGUUGGAUAAAGGGUGAGAUUAAGAUCUGAAUCGUAUAUAUAUAUUAACUUAUCUCAAAUAAAUCACAACGGUAAAUUUUUUUUGUCAAGAUUAAUAUUUGGUACUAUGUCUUUAAGACAAUUAUGUCAUCCGUAUAGUGCUCAGAGUUGAUAGCACUUGUUUUCCAGAAUACAAUGACAUCGUAUAAUUUAGCAGCACUACAAGAAGUAUACUCCACGAACCAAAAAAAUGUUCUAACUCUCUCAAAAUUAACUAAGAAAACUGAUAAAAAAAUAAUGCUCUAUUAUGCUUGAAUGCUUGAAAAUUGAAUGACUGAGAAGGCUGCCCCCUCCUAUCUAUUUAUAGGAGGGGUUGGUGACGCUUCGGAUGGGCCUUUUCAAUUGUGAUCUUUAGGAGUUAAUAUCUCAUUCAUUACUCCAUGAAUUUGAACUUUCAAAUACUUAAUUUAAUUUACUCAUGGAGAGAACACAUUAAUAUAUGAAAUUAUUAAAAUUAAUUAAUAACAUCCACAUUAAUUUAGGCUCAAAUUCUAACAACAACAAUGACAAAUAUAUAUAUAUAUAUAUAUGUAUGUAUGUAUGUAUGGAGUAUAUAGCUGCUAUAUAUUUAGGGGACCGAUAUCCGUGCGCAAUAUUGCUGACGUUAUAAAUGUUCAAAAUAUUUUUCUUGAAAAAGUUAUGGUCGAGGUUAAGUAUUUUGGAUUAAUUGGUCAACCACGUCGUAUUGGCCAAAUUUUUUUUUUUUUUUUUAAAUUCUACAAUAUUAAAUUACGAAUGCCAAAUAAUCUAAAAUUACUUCAAGAUUGAAACUACAACGAAUUAUUUCGAAAAAGAUUCAGCUAUCGAAAAUCUCUUCGAGAGUUCAGUAUAAACUUCAAGGGUAAACCCUUCUCCUAAACUUUCCUUUAGAAAUGAUCAUGCAUCGGAAUGGAUGUCUUCGGCUUCGGAUUUGGAUGACGAAAGGUUAGAUUCAUUUUAAUUAACUUGCGACGACUGAACUGCUGCUUCUUCAUAGAGAAAAAGAAGCCCUCAAAUUUGAUCGGUGUAACCAAUGUAUCUGUUGAUUCCAAUUCUUGACUUGUAUUGGGCUUAUUUUUGUCUCAAAUAUUAGCAAAUAUAAAUUGUACUCCCUCCAUCCCAAAAUAAUAGACGUUUUAGGGUAAUUUUUUUUCCCAAAAUAUCUGACGUUCUACAAUCUCAAGAAUAUUUUGGCAUUUGUUUUCCCUUUUUACCCUUCCUUCUCCACCACUAUUAUCAGAUUUACGAGAAAAAUAAUUCUUAUGCUCCCAUCCCAUCCUAAAUACGGCAGACUGGCGAGCACGGAGAAAAUCGGCGUCUUCAUCUUUCUUUUUCUCUCCUUUGUUUUUUUUGGAAAAUAAGAACAUCCCCUAAAUCCUAAUUUAUCAGAUCUGCGAUUACCCCAAAUCAGAUUCAAUGUUUACCUCCUCGUGAACUAUCAGCAUCCAGAUGACAAAAUUCAGGCCUAUUUCCCCAAAUUCGUCGUCGUUUUGGGCCUCUCCGUUGUCGCCCUAUCGAUACUGAUGUUGCUGGCCGAUGUGGCCAAUCGACAAGCGUGUCAGCACGCCAUAUACAACGGCGCGUGUAAUUUAACAUUGUUGAUGAAGGAUCUGUGGCUUGCUAUUUAUAUUCUGGAUGUCAUCCUCGUGUUCUUCGUCAUUCCAUUCGCUAUGUUCUACUACGAAGGCGAUCAGGACAAGUUAGUACUUUUCUGGGGUUUCAAUUAUGGUUAUUCUCGUUAGUAGAUUUUUAUUCGUGUACAUAUGGAAAUGUCUAUGCAGGACUUCUGGCAAGAGAAUUAAAAGUGCUCUGUUGUGGGUGAUAACAACUGCUAUCGUGGCGGUCGCGGUCGCGGUGGGUAUGGUGGCGGAGGGGUUAUAACGGUGGCGGUGGAGGGGGUUAUAACGGUGGCGAUGGAAAGAGUGUCGGUCAUGGUGGCGGCAAGGGAGGUGGCUGAAGAUAUUAAGAAGAAGAUAGAGAGAAGGCUGAAGUGAUGAAGAAGAUGCAAUAUUAAUUAAGGGUAAAAUAGUAAAAUUAUAACUAUUCUUAAUCUUUGUGAAACUCUCUAGAACGUCUAUUAUUUUUGUGAGACCCCAAAUUUUAUGAAUAAAGAUUUAAAUUUCUCGAAAUAUUUUUUUUUAUUAUGGUGUGGAUUUGAGAUAAUGUUAUAGUUGUGGGUAGUAUUUAUAAAUUCUGCAAAGUAUGCAAGUUUUUAUAUUAUAUUCGAUUGGUCGGCAAAUAUUUGUUUUAGCAGGGAAUAUUCGUACAACGAUGCAAUCAUUGGUGGACCCCACAAUAGAAUUAUUGUCGGAUUGAGAAAACGAUAAAAAUAUUUUUAUGAAAAUAACGGCGACAGUUUUACCGUUAAUACUGUUGAACUACUCGGUAGUAAAAGUACAAUAAUGUGUGUGAUUGCAUAGUAGCACACAGUAUUCAUUAUUGAUGCUUACGUGAGAAGUCACUCAUUUAUACUCAAUUAUUGCUAUAGUAAUUAUUGCAUCAUAUCUCUCAUAUUAUUGAUUCGAUUAUUAUCACAUUAUCCUCUGCAUUAUAUGUUAUAUUAUUAAAUCAAUAAUUGAAACGACAAAGUUAUUAAUAUUAUUAAAUUGCAAUAUUUACAAUGUUUAAAAAUUCUGCCAAGGAGAGGUUUGGUCACCUAAUUGCGCGCCAAUAGGGAGAAAUCCUUAUUGAAAAGCCCCCUCUUUCCUGGGAACGACCUAGUUGUUAAAUAUUGUGAGUUAUAAUAUUAAUGAUGAAUAAGUUUGUGACGCCCCCAAAAUAGGUAUACAUCACCCAUUCUGAGUUGUCAAUACAUGGUACAGAAACAACUACAACUUUAUUAUUACAACAGUAAAACUGUGAGUUUGAAUACAAAUAUUAUCUUCUAGACAAUAUCUAUACUCAAAUAAAUCCUCAUCAUAUUUAUUGAUACAUUAUUUUACAAAAAUGGUGAGGACUACUAAACAACUCUCUCUAGAACCUUCAUUCCAUACCCCGACUCGUACUCGCUAUAUUCUCGCCUCCUGAGAAGAAAAAUGGAACAAAAAGGAAAAGGGUGAGCUCAACUAGCCCAGUAAAGAAUAUUAUGACUAAGAUAAUAUACAACAAAUUAUCGUUAGUCUUCAACAGGGAAAAAUCUAAUAGAAUACAAUAGACAACAAGUUUUAAAUCAAUAUUCGCAGCGGAAAUAAUAAUUCAUUAGAAGAGUUAAGUAGAGAAUGCAAACUACUAUCUUCUAUGUAUGAAUUUAAAAGUUCAUCGUCUAUCUUUUAUCCCUGUAACAUCAAUCAAUAUAUAUCUGGAAUCAAAUAUUCAUCUUUGCACUACAGGCCAAAGAUAUUCAUCAGUUGGUCAUGUUCAUCUAAACACCUGUUCAUCUUUGCACUACGGGCCAAAGAUAUUCAUCAGAAAUCAUUCAUCUUUGCACUACAGGCCAAAGAUAUUCAAUAAUAUCAUCAUUUAAGACUGAGGACGAUGAAAAAUAUUUUUAAAGAAACGAAACCAGUGAAACAAAAUGACAAUGAUUAAGGAUUAAGGAUUCGUACUUUGUUUUAUCCAUGUCCAACAAUACCUCAAAAAUAAUCAUAGUGGUGUAAAAUUCAAGAAUGAUCAAAACAUGGAUACAAUCAAAUCUAGUAUCCACAAUAGAUAUUUUAGACGAAAAGGAAAAAUUUUCAUUUUUCGAUACAUAGUGCCGUAUUCGUGAAUAGUGUCGUAUACGUGAAUAGUGCCGUAUACGUGAAUAGUAACUCCGACACCAAAAGUUCCAAAUUUGAUAAAAANNNNNNNNNNNNNNNNNNNNNNNNNNNNNNNNNNNNNNNNNNNNNNNNNNNNNNNNNNNNNNNNNNNNNNNNNNNNNNNNNNNNNNNNNNNNNNNNNNNNNNAUAAUAUAGAGAGAGAAAACUUCAGUUUCUGGUGUGAUUUUCAAUUCUAACCUAAGCACCCUAUUUAUAGGAAAAUGCUUAGAACACCAAAGUAGAAAAUUUAAUAUAAUAAUAAUAUAUAUAUUAAUUUGUCUACGCCCACUUAGAAUCAUCUGAAUUCAGCAACUUAGCGUGUGUUAAAGAUGCCCACCAAACACAAAAAACGUUUUUCUUAUUUAAAUUAUUUUAAACUUCCAAAAUCAAUUAUUUCGGAGCUUCGGAACUUUAAUAAUUCAUAAUAAAUAGCCCUUUUAUCAGAAAAUUCGAAUCUCGCGAGUUUUUAUAGGAAAUUCAAUUCUCUACAACUUUGCAGAAGAAAGUUUUUCCAAAUUCCAAAAAAAAAUUGACCUAAAUCCAUAAACGGGCGAUUUUACAGGCUAUAAUUAAAUUUCAGUCAAGAAAUGGGGUCCACGGAUAUGAAAAAUAUGUUUUAAAUAUUUUUGGUAAUAAAAAUACUCUUUCUUCUCAUAUACUCAUAUAUCCUACAUUCAUUGUAAAAAAAUAUCAGCAUUAUUAUAUUAUUAAAAAUAUAAUAAUAAAUUUAAAUGAAUUAUUUUAUCAGAAAAAGAUAAAAUUUCAAUUUUCAACAAUUGUUACAUUAAAAAUUUUCUCCAUCUAUUUCCACAUAAAAUCAAUAUUUUCCUCAUCAUAUGAAUCAAUAAUUAAUUAUUCACAAAUAAUAUUACAGAAUCACAAUAUUGACAACCAGGCAGUUCCCAGGAAAGAGGGGGCUUUCCAAUAAGAAUUUCUCCUUACUGGCGCGCAAUUAGGUGACCAAACCUCUCCUUAGACAGAACUUUCUAGACAUUACCAAUAAUGUUAUUUAAUAAUAUGAAUUAUUGCUUCAAUAAUGGAAAAUAUUGUGUAAUGACAAUUAUUGAAACAACAGCAAUAUAAAAUAUUAACGCAGCAAUAAUUGGUGCAAUACCGUGUGCUACUGUGUUUUAACCACCGGGUAUUCCAACAGUAUUAACGGUAACAACUACGCCGUUAUUUAUAAAUAAAUUAUUCUUAUCGUUUUCUUCCUCCAAUCAUUUUUCGUUAUGGGGCCCACACAUGGCUGCGCCGUCGUACGAAUAUUCCCCGACAGUACGAAUAUUCCACGACCAAACGAAUAUUCCUCGACAAUAAUGAAUAUUUUAUAACCACUUGCUUAUUUUAAAAUAUUUGCGUAUUUUACCCAUAACUAUCUACAUUAAUCAAAACCCUUACUAUUUCAAAAUAAUAAAUAGAGAAAAUUAAAUUUCAUUAAUAACAAGUUGGGGUUUUACAAAGUUCGUGUUGAUUAAAGAUGAAUUUGAUAGUUCCAUUGUGUUGGGAUUAUUAGUGUUAGUGGAUAUCGACAUCUGUUUCGAUGAUAAUUGAUGUCUGUGGGUUAUAUUGAUAAAUUGGAGAAUUUAUCGGAUAAAUGAGAAAUUAAUUGCUACUAAUUCACAUGUUUAUAUAACUAUUUGUUCACAUGUGUGUACUAUUGAAUCACAUUCUUAUACUAUUAGGGGAGCUGGUGCAAGAUUGAUAAUACUUGCAUGACUAAGUUAAAGAUGGAGGUAUAGAUUGAGGUACUAUACUGUAAUUCAUAUUUUUACAUGUCUAGAACUAUUGAGUCACAUGAUUUACUAUUGAUUCACAUGAUUUACUAUUAGGGGAGGUGGUGCAAGUUUGAUAAUACUUGCAGGACUAAAUUAAAAAUGAAAGAAAAGUUGGAGGUAUUGUAUUGUAAUUUUUCAAGCCCCAAAACGUGCAAUUAUCUAAACUAUAUUUUUCUAUAAAUAGAAACUCAUUCUUCCUUCAUUUCUCACCAAUUCACUAAAGCUAUAGAGUAAUUAUUAUAGAGAGAAAUUAUAGAGAGAAGCUAUAGAGAGAAAAUCUAUAGAAGAAGAGAAGCCUGCUACCUCACUAUUCCAGUAUCCAGUUUCUUCUGAGGUAAGGGAUAUUAUUUGUUGUACUCGUAAAGAGUAUUAUUUCUUUUGUAUUCAUGAAGAGAACUUCUGUUAUUUCAUUCUUUAUUAUUCUGUUGGAAUAACCUGUAUACGCGGUCUACCCUAUACUUGGUGAAAUUCUUCUGUUAUUCCAUUAUUUAUUAUUCUGCUGGAAUAACCUGUCUAUGCGAAGUACCACAUACAUGGUGAAAUUCUGUUGUUAUUCCAUUCUUUAUUAUUCUGUUGGAAUAUCCUGUCUGUGCAUUUUACGCCGGACCUGGUUCCGUCUUUAUUAUUCUGUUGGAAUAUCCUGUCUUUGCGUUUUUCACCGGACCUGGUUCCGUCUUUAUUAUUCUGUUGGAAUAUCUUGUCUGUGCGUUUUACGCCAGACCUGGUUCCGUUAUUUAUUAUUCUGUUGGAAUAACCUGUUUAUGCGAAGCACCGCAUGCAUGGUGAUUUCUGUUGUUAUUCCAUUCUUUAUUAUUCUGUUGGAAUAUCCUGUCGGUGCGUAUUACGCCUGACUUGGUUCCGUUAUUUAUUAUUCUAUUGGAAUAACCUGUCUAUGCGAAGUACCGCAUGCCUUGUGAUUUCUUUUGUUAUUCCAUUUUUUAUUAUACUCAAUUGGUUAAAGUUUUGACUUCUAUACUCGUCAUAAAAUAUCAUUUUAUUUGAUAUUUUCUGUUACGAGUUACUAUUCACCCAGUUAUUAUUCACUCUAGUAUUAUUCACUCGGAUAUUCGGGGCACUUUUCAUGCCUGAAUACUAUUCACGAGUUACUAUUCACUAAAAUUACUAUUCACCCGAAUAUUAGUCACUCGGAUAUUUGGAGUACUUUUCAUGUCGGGGUACUAUUCACGAGGUACUAUUCCAGAAGUACUAUUCACGGGGGUACUAUUCACGACGAAAAAUUGAUUCUUUUCUGUCCAAAUUAUUUUUGAUGCAUGAAUAUUAUUCUUGAAUUUUACUCCACAAAGCACUAUCAUGUUGACAAUUUGGACGUUAUUAAUUCUUGGAUAAUUUUAUUCUUGAACUUGUUUUAUUGAAUUCUUAUAUCAUUGUCAUCAUCCUCAUGUUUAUAUUUUGUUGAAAGUUAUUUGUGACCUGUAGUGCAUAGAUGGACUUGGUAUGAUUAUGACCAGGGAUUAUUCGGUAUAAUCAUUACCGUAAUGUUAUAAAUGAUGUAGAAAAAGUUCUCAUUAACCCGUAGUGCAUUGAUGGACAGUUUUUGGUAUGAUUAUGGCUAUGGAUUCUCUUCGGCCAAGGGAACAAAUAUGAAUUAUUUUAUGGCAUGAUCAGGACCGUUGAUGAAAACACGAUUAUCUUUGGCCCGUAGUGCAUGGAUAAUUCGUGGUUGUGAUACUAAAUAAUAUCAUUGGCCUGUAGUGCAGGGAUGAUUUGAUGAUGUGGAUUAUUUAUUAAGCUGAGACUCAGCGAUUAAGUUGAUGAAAAACUUUUUAAAUCAUAUAAGAUAGUAGAUUUUAUUCUCUACUUGACUCUUUUAAUGGAUUGCUUGUUCCAUUGCAGUUAAACUUGAUGUUUAUUGUAUUUUAUCAGUUUAACAUUGUUGAAGGCUAAUGAUAAUUUAUCCUGCAUUAUCUUAGUCAUAAUAUGUCUUACUGGGCUAGUUGAGCUCACCCUUUCUUUCACUGUUCUCUUCAGAAAAUGAGAAUAUAGCUGGAAUGAGUCGGAGAAUGGAGUGACGGUCCAGAUGAUAGCAUUAGUAGUCCUCAUUAUUCUAUUAAAUAGUGUGACAAUAAAUGUAAUGAGGACUCCAUUGAGUGUGGAUAUUGUCUAGAUGACAAUAUUUGUAUUUAAACUCAUAACAUAUGUUUUGUCGUAUUUUACACGACAGUUGUAUAAUUAAGUUUUUAUUUGUAUUUUGUACCAUGUAUUUGACGACUCAAGAUGGGUGAUGUAUACCCAUGUUUUGGGGGCGUCACAAUUUUGGGAUGGAGGGGGUAUAUAUUAUGAAUCAUGUUUUAUUUUUUGUAUAAAUUUCAUUGGCCCAGAGCCAGUUCAAAGGCUGACCGACAUCUGUUAAUAGAGCAUGUGUUUGAGACUGACACUAUGUUUGUUUGCAAGAAUUAUAAUUUCGGUAUUAUAAUCCAUAAAAUUAUAAUCCCAAGAUUAAAUAAUCUUAGUCGCAUGUUUAUUUUUUAUGGGAUUAUUUAUGGGAAAAUUUAAAAUAAUCUCAUGUUAUGUUUUUUUUAACAAAAUUAAUUAAAGGAUUUAUCAUUUGAACUAUUAUACCCUUAUCGAUAAUAUAUUUUAAGCUAUAAUUUAAACUUAUUUAUACAUCAAAAAGGUACUUAUAAAUAAAUAAAAAAAUAUUUAAACAUAUCAUAUGUACGUACUAGAAACAGUUAUAAUGAAGCUCGUCAUGAAAAAAAUAUUUUAAGAAAAAUAAAUAAUAAAAUUUUUAAUAAUAAAUGUAGAUGUAUUUUCAAAAAUGUUUUUAUUCUCAUAAAAAAACUUUUUUACUCAAAAUAUAUAAUAUUAUUAACCAUAAACUUUAAAUAUUAAUUGUUAAUAUUUAAAAGUUAUAAGCUUCAAAAAAAUAUUUAAAAAAUAAUAUUUGGAUUCCUCGUGAUAUUUGGUUUAUCUCAUUCUAAAAUAUUAUAGUUCUUACCAAAAAAAUAAUAAACAAGCCCUCACCUUGCUAUUCAGAAUUUAAUAUACAUCUCCAAAGAAUGUGUUCGUUUGAAAGCCAAUUAAAAACUUGUUACAUUUUGCUUAACAAUUAACUCAAUAAUAGUUUUAAUAAUAUUAUGUUUUCUUAAAAAUAAAAUAUUAUUUUAUUUUUACAAAUAUUAUUUUAAGGCUUAUUAAUUUUUUAAAUAUUAUUUUGAAGCUUAUAACUUUUAAAUAUUAAGAUAUGGGAAAUUGCAAAUACAAAAUCAUAUUUGGCUUUAAAAAGAAUAGGAAUACAUAUAUAUUUAGCGUUAGUCAAUUUCAAGACAAAUAACUUUAAAAUUAUAAUUUGUAGCAUACACUAGUUAUAUUAAAAGAAAUAAAGGUUAGUUUUGUUCAUACAUUUUUAAUCCCACAUGUUGGGAUUAUUAUAUAUAGGCAUAUAGCUAGACAUGAUAUUAAAUAGUCUUCCAUCUUAAGUCAUUUUAUAAUCCUUGGACUAAUAGUUUCAAAUCCAAAUUUAAAAACAAACAAGACAAUCUGGAUUAAUAGUCCUAUUUCAAGUGUAAUCCUUUCAAACAAACAUAGCCUGAGAUUAAUAAUCACAACAUGUAGAACGUAUAGCUUGUUUAAAAUGUUUGCAAUAAAAAAAUAAUUAAAAAAUAAAAAAUUAUUUACUUUUUCAUUUGAUUAUUCUUAAAUUAGAAGAAAAUCAAGAAGAAUAUAUAUACGGUCCGGAUCUUAAGCUUACCUGUGAUGCCCCCAAAAUAGGUAUACAACACCCAUUCUGAGUCGCCAAAUACAUGGUACAGAAAGCAAACUACAACUUUAAUAAUAUAAUUGUCGUUUAAAAUACAACAACACUUACUGUGAGUUUAAAUACAAAUAUUAUCUUUUAGACAAUAUCCACACCCAAAUAAGUCAUCAUUACAAUUAUUCAUACACUAUUUUACAGAAAUAGUGAGGACAGCUAAAACAUCUUUCUAGAACCAUCACUCCAUACCCCGACUUGAUCCUGUUAUGUUCUCACCUCCUGAGAAGAAAAAUGGAACAAAAAAAAAGGGUGAGCUCAACUAGCCCAGUAAAGAAUAUCAUGACUAAGAUAAUAUACAACAAAUUAUCAUUAGUUUUCAACAAGGAAAAAUCUGAUAGAAUAUACUAAACAACAAGUUUUAGAUCAACAAAUGCAGCGGAAACAACAAUCCAUUGGAAGAGUCACGUAGAGAAUGAAUUCUACUACCUUCUAAGAUUUAAAAGUUCAUCAUCAAUAUUUUAUCCCUGUAACAACAAUCAAUAUACAUCUCUAAUCAAAUAUUCAUCUUUGCAUUACAGGCCAAAGAUAUUCAUUUGUAUCACCAGUUGGUCAUGUUCAUCUCAACACCUGUUCAUCUUUGCACUACGGGCCAAAGAUAUUCAUCAGUUAAUCAUUCAUCUUUGCACUACAGGCCAAAGAUAUUCAGUAAUAUCAUCAUUAAGGACUGGGGAUGAUGAAAAAUAUUUUAAAGAAAACGAAUCUAGUGAGACAGAAGGACGAAUAUUAGGGAUUCGUAUUAUAGUUUAUCCAAGAUUAAUAAUACUCCAUAAUAACCAAAUUUUGAAGCAGAAUUCAAAAAUAAAGAUCAAAACAUGGAUACCAUCAAUGAUAGUAACCAUAAUAGACAUCUUGGACAAAAAGAAGAAAAUUUUAUUUUUCGGUGAAUAGUGCCGUAUUCGUGAAUAGUGCCAUAUACGUGAAUAGUGCCGUAUACGUGAAUAGUAACCCCGACAUAAAAAGUUCCAAAUUUGAUUAAAAGUUCAGAUCAUAAUGAUAUUGAAAGAAAUAAUAUCAUAUAUGAAGAAAAUAACAUCCCUUACCUCAAAGAAACAGUACUUCAGAAUGCAAUAUCGGAUAUGAUGCUGAAUGAAACUUGUACUGAACAACAACUCUCAAAGUAUCUAAAAUAUGCUCGAUAAUAUAGAGAGAGAAAGAGAGAAAACUUGUUUCUGGUGUGAUUUUCAAUUCUAACUUAGCCCUCUAUUUAUAGAAAAAUGUUAGCACGCCGAAGCAGACUUGACCUGCUACCUGAUGGCUUUACCUGCUACUAUUGCCACCCACCAUAUUUGAAAUUCAAUUGAGCACAUUUCUAACUAACCAAUUCUAGAAUUUUCCAAAAUGUUCUAUCAUUUAAAUAAUAAUCAGAAACUUUAAUAAUUCAUAGAAAAUAGCCCGUUUAUCAAAAAAAUACGAAUUUUAUGUCCAUUCUACAUGAAAAUCGAAUUCUCUACAACUUUGCAGAAGAAAGUUUUUCCAAAUUCCAAACAGAAAAUAUCCGAAAUCCAUAAACGAGUGAUUUUUAAUACCUCCAAUCUAACAAAAUACUGAUAAAACAUCUCAGCAUUAAUUUAACCAUAUAAAAUAAAUAAAUCCAUCUUUUAUAUCCACAUCAAAUAAAUAUUUCCUUAUCAUAUAAAUCAAUAAUUAAUUAUUCCCAAAUAAUAUUACAGAAUCACAAUUAUGACAACCAGGCCGUUCCCAGGAAAGAGGGAGCUUUCCAAUAAGGAUUUUUCCUUACUGGCGCGCAAUUAGGUGACCAAACCUCUCCUUAGACAGAACUUUCUAGACAUUGCCAAUAAUGCUAUCUAAUAAUAUUAUUCAAAUAAUAUGAAUUAUUGAUAUGAUAAUGGAAAAUACUGUGUAGUGACAAUUAUUAAAACAACAAUAAUAUAAACUAUCAACGCAGCAAUUAUUGAAUCAAUAAAAUAAAAUAUUGAACAGUAACUACUGUAACAAUUAUUGAGUUGUGCCUUCUUACGUACGAAUCAAUAAUUCAACAAUACUGUGCAACCACGCGUAUUACUGUAUUUUAACCACCAGGUAACCCAACAGUGUUAACGGUAACAAUUACGUCAUUAUUCAUAAAAACUCAUACUUUGUCAUUUUCUUCAUCCGACAGUUAUUCCGUUAUGAGGCCCACAAUUGACUGCGCCGUCGUACGAAUAUUCCCGACAAAAAGAAUAUUCUACGACCAAACGAAUAUUCCCCAACAGAAAUGAAUAUUUUAUAACCACUUGCUUAUUUUGCAAAAUUUGCACAUUUCACCCAUAACCAAAGCAUUAUAUCAAAUUAACACCUUAUUAAUUUAGAAUAAUGAAUAGAGGAAAAAUUCAAUUUUAUUUAUAAUAAGUUGAGGUCUUACAACCUUCACUCCUUAUAAAAUUUCGUCCUCGAAAUUGUCGUACGUACCUGGUGUAUCGAAAAUGUGAGGGUACCUCGCUUUCAUUUUCGAUUCCAACUCACAAGUCAUUUCUUCAAUAGCAUGGUUCCUCCACAAAACCUUAACUUGUGGUAUAACCUUGGUGCGUAGGACAUGCUCUUUCCUGUCCAAGAUCUUAACAGGUACCUCCUCGUACGUUAAAUCUUCGGCUAUCUCGUCUGGUUCUAACUCAAUAAUGUGGUUCGGGUCUUUCACAUAUUUACGAAGUAUAGAUAUAUUAAAAACAUUAUGAAUACGAGACAUGUUUGGAGGUAAUGCGAGUCUGUAGGCCACAUUUCCUAUUCGGUCAAAAAUCUCAAAUGGACCAACAAACCUUGGAUUGAGCUUUCCUCUCUUUCCAAAUCUUGUAACUCCCUUCCAUGGAGCAAUACGUAAUAGUACAUGAUCUCCAAUAUUAAAUUCUACGUCCUUUCGAUGAAGAUCAGCAUAACUCUUUUGUCGAUCUUGUGAGGUUCGAAUACGUUGUCGAAUCAUUUGGAUCUUUUCUGUAGUCAUGCGUACUAAUUCUGGUCCCAAUAACGUUUCUUCUCCCACCUCAUCCCAGCAUACCAGAGAACGACACUUUCGUCCAUACAACGCCUCAAAUAGAGCCAUGCCUAUACUUGCUUGAUAACUGUUGUUGUAGGAGAAUUCCAUCAGUGGCAAGUAUUUAUCCCAACUUCCUUUGAAAUCUAGGACACAGAGUCUUAAUAGAUCUUCAAGGGUUUGAAUAGUCCUCUCUGAUUGUCCGUCCGUUUGAGGAUGGUAUGCUGAACUGAAUCGUAAAUCCGUGCCCAUAGCUUUCUGCAAGCUAACCCAAAAUCUUGAAGUGAAUCUUGGGUCACGAUCCGAAACUAUGGAUACUGGCAUGCCAUGCAAUCUCACAAUCUCAUUCACGUACAUACGAGCAAGACGUUCAAGGGAAUAAGUUUCUCGUAUCGGUAAGAAAUGAACAGACUUGGUUAAUCUAUCAACAAUAACCCAAAUCGCAUCUAUGCCUUGAGAAACUUUGGGAAGACCUGUAACGAAAUCCAUGGUAAUGUGUUCCCACUUCCAUUUCAAAAUCUCAAGUGGUUGCAAUGGACCUUUUGGCACUUGAUGCUCUGCCUUUACACGUUGACAAGUUAAACACCUCGAGAUAAACUUCGCGAUCUCUCUCUUCAUAUUGUUCCACCAAAAUGUAUGUCGAAUAGCAUGAUACAUUUUAGUACUCCCAGGAUGGAUUGCAAACGGGGUGUUGUGUGCCUUCAUCAUGAUUCUAUGCUUUAAGUCAGAAUCGUUAGGAACGCAAAGUCUAGAGUUUACUCAAAGUAUUCCUUCUUCAUUAAUUCUUGCUUCUGGUAUAGCACCUUCUUGCACUUUCUUCUUCAUACGCAUCAGCCCUAGGUCCGUAGCUUGAGCAGCUUUAACUUUAUCUAUUAAGGUCGAUUCUACUCGUAUAUUCACCAUCAUCACGUGGGUCCCUAGAGUCUUUAACUCUAUCUCCAUCCUUUGCAAGUCAUACAAAAUGGGCCUUUGCGUUGACAAUAUCGCACUCGUACUUGCAUAUAAUCUUCUACUCAAUGCGUCAGCUACUACGUUCGCUUUUCCAGGAUGAUAUUGAAUAGUGUGAUCAUUAUCUUUCAACAGCUCAAGCCAACGUCGUUGUCGUAUGUUGAGUUCUUUUUGGGUGAAGAAAUAUUUGAGGCUUUUAUGGUCCGUAUAAAUUUCCACUUUCUCCCCAUACAAGUAGUGUCUCCAUAUCUUCAACGCGAAAACGACUGCUGCCAACUCCAGAUCAUGAGUAGGAUAAUUCCUCUCAUAUUCUUUGAGUUGUCACGAGGCAUAGGCUAUGACUUUCCCAUGUUGCAUGAGAACACAUCCUAACCCUUUGCUUGAAACAUCGCUAUAGAUAACAAAUUCAUCCGAACCAGAUGGUAUUGCCAGAACAGGUGCCGAAAUGAGUCUCCUCUUGAGCUCUUAGAAACUCUUCUCGCAUUCUUCGCUCCAUACGAAUUUUGUAUCUUUCCGAGUCAACUGAGUUAACAGAGUAGCGAUUCGAGAAAAUCCUUCCACAAAUCUCCAAUAAUAACCAGCUAAGCCCAGAAAGUUGCGUACUUCGGUCACCGACUUCGGUUGCUCCCAACUUUGUAUUGCUUCAAUACUCGCCGGGUCAACAGAUACUCCAUUUUUUGACACUACGUGCCUAAGGAAUGUUACUUCCUCAAGCCAGAACUCGCAUUUCUUCAGCUUAUCAUAAAGCUUGUUUUCACGAAGCCUUUCAAAUAUCAGCUUCAAAUGGUGUUCAUGAUCUUCACGGCUUUUGGAAUAGAUGAGGAUGUCAUCAAUAAAGACAACAACGAACUGAUCCAAAUAUUCCUUGAAUACACGGUUCAUCAUAUCUAUGAAAGCAGCAGGAGCAUUAGUCAAUCCAAAAGACAUGACUAAGAAUUCAUAAUGCCCGUACCGAGUUCUGAAGGCAGUCUUCGGAUUAUCCUCAGUUUUAAUCUUCAGCUGAUGAUAUCCAGAACGAAGAUCGAUCUUUGAAAAGAAUUGUGCUCCUUGUAGCUGGUCGAACAUGUCAUCAAUGCGAGGUAGGGGAUACCUAUUUUUGAUGGUGACAUGGUUCAAUUCUCGGUAGUCAAUACAAAGUCGUAUACUCCCGUCUUUCUUCUUUACGAAUAAAACAGGAGCACCCCAAGGAGAUGUACUAGGACGAAUGAAACCGAUGUCUAAUAACUCCUGUAGUUAGACUUUUAACUCUUGAAGUUCAAUAGGAUCCAUUCGAUAUGGGGUUUUAAAAAUGGGUUUUGUACCCGGUUCAAGAUCAAUAAAGAAUUCAACAUCACGUUCUGGGGGUAGACCGGGAAGUUCUUCAGAAAAUACAUCAGAAAAUUCUCUAACAACAGAAAUAUUAUCCAAAUCUGACUUAUCUUUCUUCAAGUCCAUAACAUGAGCUAAGAAAGCUUGACAUCCGUUUUUCAAUAAACGAAUAUAUUUGUGGCUUGAUAUGACGGUGACUGAUUUUAGUGGUUUAGUUGUUUGAAUUCGUAUGACAAGUUGGUUAGGAAUAUGAAAACUAACAACCUUACGAAAAUAAUCAAUUUUGGCAUGAUGAGUGGUUAACCAAUCAAUUCCUAAAAUUACAUCAAAAGCAAGUAUCUUUAAAGAAAUAAGAUCAACAGGUAAUGUGAUAGUGCCAACUUGGAUCAAUCAAGAUUUAUAAACUGUAGAUGUAACGAAGGUUUCACCUAACGAAGUUUCAACAGAUAAGUUAAAGUCCAAUUUCUCCGGAGUCAAGUUUAAACGUUGAGCACAAGAAGGAGAGAUAAAAGAAUGGGUAGAACCGGUAUCUAGUAAGAUAUAAACUUCGCAAGAAUUUAAGAUUAGCUUACCCGUGAUCACCUCAUUCGGGUUCCUCACGUUUUGGCCAGUUACGACAAACGCUCUUCCAGGAACCGCUGAUUUUGACUUAUCCAGGACAGCCUUUGGAGUCACCAUCUCUGCUGAACUUGGUUUUGCUACAGAGCAGUCUCGAGCUAUAUGGCCCUUCUUUCCACAGUUAUAACAUACCUUGGAUUGUUGUGGACAGUUUGGGCUGAUAUGUCCCUCUUUCCCGCAUUUAUAACAUCUAACUGGUGGUCGAUCUCCUCCCCUAAAAUUUGUUGUUGGUGCUGGUGCUGCUGUUGAUGUCUUCCCAUCAUUGUUGAAUCUCUUCUUUCUGAAAUUUUCACUUGACUCACCUCUCCUAUUAUCAUGGCCACGAUUACCACCCGAGUGGUUAUCGCCUUUGUCCGUAUUUUUCUCUCCUCGUUGGUUAUCAUCGCUCUGAUGACUGUUGUCACCGGUAUGACCCUGGUUGUGGUCCCUCAGUUGAGUAUACUCGCUAUCUCGCUCUAACAAUUGAGCCCUGUUGACAACAUCUGAAUACAGAAAAAAUUUAUGAGAGAUAAGGUAUUAACGAAUCUCGGGUUUUAGACCUCUCAGAAAUAUCCGCGUCAUACGUUCCUCAUUUUCUACCAAAUGAGGUGCAAACCUGGAUAACUCCGCGAACUUCGCCUCGUACUGAGACACUGUCAUGUUGUUCUGUUCCAGUCUAAUAAACUUUACCUCCUUCAUAUGACGAAUACUUUCAGGAAAGUACUUGUCAUUGAACAGUUUCUGAAAUCUUUCCCAAGACAUGUUGAGUGCGACCGGCUGGGUACACUUCACAGAUUCCCACCAGUAAUCUGCCUCUCCACGGAACAUAAAUAGUGGCGAAUGGAACCUUCUUUUCCUCCGUGCAUCCCAAGACAUCGAAUAUCUUGGUAAUUUGCUUAACCCACGUUUCCGCCUUAAUUGGAUCAAGCUUUCCCCAGAAAUCUGGUGGUCCCAACUCCUUGAACUGCUUGGCUGUAACAGACCGCGCAUUGCCAUCAUUUCCACCCGUAUUUUGUACACGAGUCUCCCUCGUCUGAUUUUGCAUGAACUGCAAAAAGCUCCUAAACAUUCCAUCAUUCAUCAUUUGCUUGGUAGCAUUGUUUACAGGAGGAAUAUUGCCUUCCUGUUGCACAUUCUCCUGGUUUCUGACUAAAGGUUGUUCCACAGUCUCAUACACUCCAUUGUUAACGUUCUCAGCAGCCAUUCUUAAAUACUGCCAUAAAAUAAGGGUUAAGUAAAUAAAUUAACAUAUCACAUAAUAUCCCUAUAUUAUGACUGACCCACAAAUAAGCUUAGAUAGGACACACUAGCGAAGGAUUUACUCAUCUCUCCCCUCCUAGUUCUAUUCUCCGAUCUCCGCCAAAGACCAUAUCCCUAAGCUUUGAUACCAACUGUGACGCCCCCAAAAUAGGUAUACAACACCCAUUUUGAGUCGCCAAAUACAUGGUACAGAAAGCAAACAACAACUUUAAUAAUACAAUUGUCGUGCAAAAUACGACAACACUUACUGUGAGUUUAAAUACAAAUAUUGUCUUCUAGAAAAUAUCCACACCCAAAUAAGUCCUCAUUACAAUUAUUCAUACAGUAUUUUACAGAAAUAGUGAGGACAACUAAAACAUCUUUCUAGAACCAUCACUCCAUACCCCGACUCGAUCCUGCUAUGUUCUCACAUCCUAAGAAGAAAAAUGGAACAAAAAGGAAAAUGAUGAGCUCAACUAGCCCAGUAAAGAAUAUUAUGACUAAGAUAAUAUACAAUAAAUUAUCAUUAGUCUUCAACAGGGAAAAAUCUGAUAGAAUAUACUAGAUAACAAGUUUUAGAUCAACAAAUGCAGCGAAAACAACAAUCCAUUAGAAGAGUCACGUAGAGAAUAAAUUCUACUACCUUCUAAGAUUUAAAAGUUCAUCAUCAAUAUUUUAUCCCUGUAACAACAAUCAAUAUACAUUUUUAAUCAAAUAUUCAUCUUUGCACUACAGGCCAAAGAUAUUCAUUUGUAUCACCAGUUGGUCAUGUUCAUCUCAACACCUGUUCAUCUUUACACUACGGGCCAAAGAUAUUCAUCAGUUAAUCAUUCAUCUUUACACUACAGGCCAAAGAUAUUCAGUAAUAUCAUCAUUUAGGACUGAGGAUGAUGAAAAAUAUUUAAAAGAAAACAAAUCCAGUGAGACAGAAGGACGAAUAUUAGGGAUUCGUAUUAUAGUUUAUCCAAGAUCAAUAAUAUUCCAUAAUAACCAAAUAUUGAAGUAGAAUUCAAAAAUAAAGAUCAAAACAUGGAUACCAUCAAAGAUAGUAACCAUAAUACACAUCAUGGAUAAAAAGAAAAAAAAUUUAUUUUUCGGUGAAUAGUGCCGUAUUCGUGAAUAGUGCCGUAUACGUGAAUAGUAACCCCGACACAAAAAGUUUCAAAUUUGAUUAAAAGUUCAGAUCAAUACUUCGGCAUAAUGAUAUUGAAAGAAAUAAUAUCAUAUAUGAAGAAAAUAACAUCCCUUACCUCAAAGAAAUAGUACUUCGGAAUGAAAUAUCAGAUAUGAUGCUGAAUGAAACUUGUACUGAACAGCAACUCUCAAAGUAUCUAAAUACUCACAAAAUAUACUCGAUAAUAUAGAGAGAGAAAGAGAGAAAAGUUGUUUCUGGUGUGAUUUUCAAUCCUAACUUAGCCCUCUAUUUAUAGGAAAAUAUUAGCACGCCGAAGCAGACUUGACCUGCUACCUGAUGGCUUUACCUGCUACUAUUGCCACCCACCACAUUUGAAAUUCAAUUGAGCACAUUUUUCACCAACCAAUUCUAGAAUUUUUCAAAAUAUUUUAUCAUUUAAACAAUAAUAAGAAACUUUAAUAAUUCAUAGAAAAUAGCUCGUUUAUCAGAAAAAUACGAAUUUUAUGUCCAUUCCAUACGAAAUCGAAUUCUCUACAACUUUACAGAAGAAAGUUUUUCCAAAUUCCAAACAAAAAAUAUCUGAAAUCUACAAACGGGUGAUUUUUAAUACCUCCAAUUUAACAAAAUACUGAUAAAACAUCUCAGCAUUAAUUCUUUCAUUAAUAACCAUAUACAAUAAAUAAAUUCAUCAUUUAUAUCCACAUCAAAUAAAUAUUUUCUUAUCAUAUAAAUCUAUAAUUAAUUAUUCCCAAAUAAUAUUACAGAAUCACAAUUAUGACAACCAGGCCGUUCCUAGGAAAGAGGGGGCUUUUCAAUAAGGAUUUUUCCUUACUGGCGCGCAAUUAGGUGACCAAACCUCUCCUUAGACAGAACUUUCUAGACAUUGUCAAUAAUGUUAUCUAAUAAUAUUAUUCAAAUAAUAUGAAUUAUUGAUAUGAUAAUGAGAAAUACUGUGCAGUGAUAAUUAUUAAAACAACAAUAAUAUAAACUAUCAACGCAGCAAUUAUUGAAUUAAUAAAAUAAAAUAUUGAACAGUAACUACUGUAACAAUUAUUGAGUAGUGCCUUCUUACGUACGAAUCAAUAAUUCAACAAUACUGUACAACCACGCGUAUUACUGUAUUUUAACCACCAGGUAACCCAACAGUGUUAACGGUAACAAUUACGUCGUUAUUCAUAAAAACUCAUACUUUGUCAUUUUCUUCAUCCGACAGUUAUUCCGUUAUGGGGCCCACAAUUGACUGCGCCGUCGUACGAAUAUUCCCGACAAAAAGAAUAUUUCACGACCAAACGAAUAUUCCCCGACAGAAAUGAAUAUUUUAUAACCAUUUGCUUAUUUUGCAAAAUUUCCACAUUUCACCAAUAACCAAAGCAUUAUAUCAAAUUAAUACCUUAUUAAUUUAGAAUAAUGAAUAGAGAAAAAAUUCAAUUUUAUUUAUAAUAAGUUGGGGUCUUACAUUACCCCUUAGUGAACAUACCUUGCAUAUCCCUUUUUAGCGAUGGAUUGGGCGACGAUUUGGUCCGUCGCUAUAUAUAUAUAUAUGUUUGUGUUAUGCAUCCAUUCUAUUCAUUAGUGUGAUUGUCAAAACUGAGGUUGUUCAUGUUUGUUUGUCACCAACAUUUGGGUAUUUUGUAGUUCCAAAAUCUUUCUUCCUAGUUAAGUUGUUUUUAACAUUGUGAUAUUUACACAAACAGUAUAAAAAAAAUGACAUGUCAAUAAAUAUUUAUAUAUUUUUAUUGGUAAAUAAGUUAUAUUUUUUAUACACAAUUUUUUUUACUUAUAGUUCAUUUGUACAUGUAUAAAGUGAAAUUUUAAUUCUUUUUACUUUUAAAAGUCAUUACUUACAUGGUUAACCCCAUCAAUUUGUACUUUGAUUUGCAUACAAUAGUUCAUACAUAAUUAUUCGUUAUGGAUAAUAUUAGGGGUCUUAAAUUUUUAAUCUCAAAUAAUGUGUUAUGAUAAUACUGAUUGAAUAGAUCUUUUAUAAUUUACUAUACUAUAAAAUAUUUAAUGUCAUAUCAUUUAUAAUUUAUUUCAAAUAAAAAAUUUAAAACUCUUAACACUAUAUAUAUAUAUAUAUAUAUAUAUAUAUAUAUAUAUAUAUAACAAAACACAACACAACUUGAAUUUCCCGCUCAACCCAAAAAUCAUCAGGAACGUCAAAACAUUGGGAUAAAUCUUAUCGUCCAAAGCUAAAUAGUGCCGGAGGCAUAUAUAUAUAUAUAUAUAUAUANNNNNNNNNNNNNNNNNNNNNNNNNNNNNNNNNNNNNNNNNNNNNNNNNNNNNNNNNNNNNNNNNNNNNNNNNNNNNNNNNNNNNNNNNNNNNNNNNNNNNNNNNNNNNNNNNNNNNNNNNNNNNNNNNNNNNNNNNNNNNNNNNNNNNNNNNNNNNNNNNNNNNNNNNNNNNNNNNNNNNNNNNNNNNNNNNNNNNNNNNNNNNNNNNNNNNNNNNNNNNNNNNNNNNNNNNNNNNNNNNNNNNNNNNNNNNNNNNNNNNNNNNNNNNNNNNNNNNNNNNNNNNNNNNNNNNNNNNNNNNNNNNNNNNNNNNNNNNNNNNNNNNNNNNNNNNNNNNNNNNNNNNNNNNNNNNNNNNNNNNNNNNNNNNNNNNNNNNNNNNNNNNNNNNNNNNNNNNNNNNNNNNNNNNNNNNNNNNNNNNNNNNNNNNNNNNNNNNNNNNNNNNNNNNNNNNNNNNNNNNNNNNNNNNNNNNNNNNNNNNNNNNNNNNNNNNNNNNNNNNNNNNNNNNNNNNNNNNNNNNNNNNNNNNNNNNNNNNNNNNNNNNNNNNNNAAUAUAUUAUUAUAUUUUAAUAAUAUAAUAAUGGUGAUAUUUUUACAAUGAAUGUGGGAUAUAUGAGUAUAUGAGGAGGAGGAGUAUUUUUGUUACUAAAAAUGUUUAAAACAUGUUUUUCAUGUUGGUGGACUCUAUUUCUUGACUGAAAUUUGAUUAUAGCUUGUAAAAUCGUCCGUUUAUGAAUUUCGGUCAACUUCAGCUUGGAAUUUAGAAAAACUUUCUUCUGCAAAGUUGUAGAUAAUUAAAUUUCCUAUGGAAUGGACAUAAGAUUUGAAUUUUUCUGAUAAAAAGGCUAUUUAUUAUGAAUUAUUGAAGUUUUGAAGUUCCAGAAUAAUUGAUUUUGGGAGUUUAAAAUAUGUUUUUGUAAGAAAAACGUUUUUAACAAGUUGGUGGGCUCAUUUUUUUGUUAAACAUGUGGGAAUCUGGCAUUCAAAGGUUAGCGUAGGAAAAAAUUAUAUAUAUAUAUAUAUAUAUAUUAUUAAAUUUUCUGCUUUGGUGUUCUAAGCAUUUUCCUAUAAAAGGGUGCUUAGAUUAGAAUUGAAUAUCACAUCAGAAACUAAAGUUUUCUCUCUCUAUAUUAUCGAGCGUAUUCUUGUGAUUAUUUUGAUACUUUGUGUGUUGAUAUACGGUGCAAAUUUCUUCAACACUAUAUCUAGUAGUCCAGCCAGAAGUACUAUUAUUUCAAGGUACGGGAUAUUUUUUUUUUAAAAUGAUAUUAUUUCUUCUAAUAUCAUUAUGCCAGAAUAUUGGUAAGAUUUUUCUUGUGAAAUUCUUGUCUUUUAGUGUCGGGGUUACUAUUCACGUAUACGACACUAUUCACGAAUACGACACUAUUCACAGAAAAAUUAAAAUUUUAUUUUUUGUCUAAAAUAUCUAUUAUGGAUACUAGUUUUGAUUGUAUCCAUGUUUUGAUCGUUCUUGAAUUUUACUCCACUAUGAUUAUUUAUGAGGUAUUUUUGGACAUGNNNNNNNNNNNNNNNNNNNNNNNNNNNNNNNNNNNNNNNNNNNNNNNNNNNNNNNNNNNNNNNNNNNNNNNNNNNNNNNNNNNNNNNNNNNNNNNNNNNNUUUUCUUUAAAAUAUUUUUCAUCAUCCUCAGUCCUAAAUGAUGAUAUUACUGAAUAUCUUUGGCCUGUAGUGCAAAGAUGGUUAAUUUUCUUAUGAAUAUAUUUGGCCCGUAGUGUAAAGAUGUACAGGUGUUAGAUGAACAUGACCAACUGAUGAAUAUAUUUGGCCUGUAGUGCAAAGAUGAAUAUUUGAUUCAAGAUGAAUAUUGAUUGAUGUUACAGGGAUAAAAUAUUGAUGAUGGACUUUUAAAUUCAUAGAUAAUAGUAGAUUUCAUUCUCUACGUAACUCAUCUAUAAAUUAUUAUUUCCGCUGCGAAUAUUGAUCUGAAACUUGUUGUCUAUUGUAUUUUAUCAGAUUUUUUCCUGUUGAAGACUAACGAUAAUUUGUUCUAUAUAAUCUUAGUCAUAAUAUUUUUUACUGGGCUAGUUGAGUUCAUCCUUUUUUUUUGUUCCAUUUUUCUUCUCAGGAGGCGAGAAUGUAGCGAGUUCUAGUCGGGGUAUGGAAUGAUGAUUCUAGAGAGUUAUUUUAGUAGUCCUCAUCAUUUUGUAAAAUAAUGUAUCAAUAAUUAUAAUGAGGACUUAUUUGAGUGUGGAUAUUGUCUAGAUGACAAUAUUUGUAUUUAAACUCACAGUUUUUGUGUUGUCGUAUUUUGUACGACAAUUAUAUUAAUAAAAUUAUAGUUGUUUUUGUACCAUGUAUUUUGACGACUCAAAAUGAACGUUGUAUACCUAUUUUGAGGACAUCACAGAGAAAGAGAUAAGAUUCUUUGGUUGAGUUAGUAAAUGAUUUUGGUCUAUAUAAAUAAAGUUCGUUUUCUUGUAUUUAAUUAUUUGGGUCGCAUUUGUUGGGAAUAUGUGGAGUUAAUAAUGUCAGUUCACACCACCACUCACUAUUAGCUCUAAAAGUUUUAUACUCUCCCUACUUUUACUUUAAUAUAUGUGUUUUUAGAAUUGUGUAUAAGUAUUAAAAAAAUAAUUAUAUGAUAUUAAAUAUAAUAUUAAUUAUUUAUAUUAUUUUUAUAUUAAAAAAUAAUAUUAUUUAUUAGGUAGAAAAUAAUGAAAGAAUCAAAAUUAUAUUUAAUACUUGAGAUAAUAUUAGAAACAAAGUAAUUAAUACUUAAUUAAAAUUCUCAAACAACAAAUAAUAAGAGACAAAAACACUUAUCUAAAACGACACUUAAAAUGAGAUCCUCGGUUCCUCUUUACUUUUUGAGAGUGAAAUUUAUUAAUUUUUAUUUAUCAUUUAAAAAUAUUAAUAACUUAAUUUAUCAUAUUAUUUUUAUAUUAAAUAUUAAAUUAUUUAUUUGUAAUAUUUUUCAAUAAAUUUUGAAGAGUAAUAUUAAGACUAUAUACUCAUUUUAAUAAAUACGCAUAAAAAGAAAGGGAGGGAGGGAAUAUUGAUUAUCUUAAAUACUAAGUUGAAAAAGAAAGAUUUGACAAUACAUGGAGUAGUAAUAUUUAUAUACUCGUAGAUCAUCUUUCUGGACAGUGGAGAAAACAUUUGAUUAAAAUGUUAAAUUGAUGCAUCAAGUUCCAACAAUAAAAACAGAUUAAAAAUCAGACGUCGAUCUUUAGUACUCCUCCCUCAACAAAAGUAGUUAGUAGUAUACGUUAUAAGGAGUAUUUUAUAUUUAUUUAAAUUGGGUUUACUAGUUUAAGGGAAAACAAUUCAUUUAAUAUCCUUAUUUUGGGUUCACUAAUACUCUAUUUCUGAGUUUUAAAAUGGAUAGAAAAAAAAAUAGACGGAAAUUUUAAGUUUUCUUUUCAAUUAUUAUGUUUCUGAGUUUUUUAAUAAACGGAAAAGAAAAGAAAUGAAUAGAAAAUUUGGCCAUUUUUCCUGCCAAAGUUUUCCGUCCAAAAUUGGCCAGAUUUGGACGGAAAAAAAAUUAGAAUAAGUAAUAUUUUUAUAAUUCUCAUAUUAUCCUCAACUUUUAAUAUAAUAAAUUUUAAAUUAUAAUUUAUGUCCUCAAUUUUAAAUUUUUUAUUUUUUUCUAUUAAAAACGCAUAAACAACACAAAGAAAAACUUCAAGUUUUCUAUUCUUUUCUUUUCUGUUCAAAACUCAGAAACAGAGUGGAAGAGUAGAUUUGUAAUUUAUUUAAUUUUUUUAAUAUGCAUAAAAAAUAUACUCCAUCCAUCCGUUUUAGAAUUAGAGAUACAAUUUAACAUUUGAGGUCAAAUGAACACAUAUUAAAUUAUAAAAUUAGUAUGAUUUAUAAAAAUUAAAAAUAAAAUAAAUUUUGUAAUUACUAAUUUUUAUUAACUAAAAUUUAAUAUGUCAAAAGUCAUAGUAUUAUAUCUCUAAACAGUAAACAGGAAGAGAAGAAAAUGUUAGUAUUAGCUUUCACGGCAGAAGAAUUGAAUUGUCCCUUUCCUUUCCUGCACUGCACUGCAUUCCACUUAAAGAAACUCCACAUCUUCACGCACUUCCUUCUUUCCUACACAAAUCAAUUCAUCAUGAAACGACAAUCGCCAUUCACACACACACACAAGACACAACCUUUUAACCGGUAUACAGAAGAAUGAUCAGGAGGACUCGGGAUAAAUAAAAUCAAGUCUUUCUUCUUUUGUUUCAUUAUUAUAUUACUAAUUCUUAAUUAUAAUUAUAAUAAUAAUUUAGGGAGACUUUGGUUUUGCAUUUGGCCCAUCCAACCAGUAGAGAAAGUUGACACGAUAACAAAAUAUAAUUGAUUUUGAAUUUCCUGCUCAUUUUAAUAAAUCAUUUAGGUCGUCUAAAAAAUAAAAAAUAUAAUGUAAUUCUUUUGUUAAUGGUAUAAAAAAGAAAUAUUAAAAGAUGAGUUUAAUAUCAUUUUCUUAUGGGCCUGGGCCGGGACAAGGAAGUAUACUACUUAUAAACGAGCAAGUGUUAUCACUAUUACCAUACCAGAAACAACGCCUUUGUUUGUGACUAGGCCUGGAAAAAUAUGAUUAUGGAUUGAUUUUGAUUUUUAAAAUAUGGUUAUAUUUCUAUUUAAGAACUAAAAUCAUAUUAACCAUUUUUAAUAUGGGUUGGGUUGGAUUGGAACUAUAUGGUUAUGGUUCAAAAUCAUAUUAACCAUUUUAAGAUUUUUGACUUUUAAACAGAAUUUUUGAAAAAUGAAAUUGUGACCGUCACAAAUAAAUUAAUUAAGUAAUAAUAUGAUAUAAAAAUUAUUAAUAUAAAUAAUAAAAUGCUAAAAAACUAUACUAAUAAAAUUUUAAAUUAAAAUUAUUAAUUCUACUUAAAAAUAAAUUAUUUGUGCAAUUAUAUUAAUUUAUAAAAUAUAAUUAUUUAUGAAAUGAUAUUAAGUUAUGAAAAAAUUUCACUUAAUAUCUCUAAAACACUUUACUUUGUCACCCUAUUUUUUUUUUUAAACCGUCUCACUAAAUUUUAUCAUAAUCUUUGAAUUUUUGUUAUAGUGUAUUAUUGUUCAACUAGAUUUUUAAAUUAGUACGUAGAAAUUGUUUAUUUUUUUCACCUAUACUUUUAAAUUUAGUAGAAAAUAUAUUUUGUAUAUGGUGGAAAUGAACAAUAUUUAACUAUCUUGCACUUAAAUAGCACACUAGUAAUCUUGACAAUAAGCUCUAAAAUAUGAUUAAAUAUUCAGAGUUAUACACCAAAAUGCAAGCACCCAAUAUCCAAUUACAAAUGUUCAUAAAACCAAUAUUAAUUAUGUGACGCCCCCAAAAUAGGAAUACAUCACCUAUUCUGAGUCGCCAAAUACAUGAUACAGAAUAAAAAUACAAUCUUAAUUAUACAACAAGAGAGCUGUGAGUUUAAAUACAAAUAUUGUCUUCUAGACAAUAUUCACUCUCAGAAUAAGUCCUCAUUAUAUUUAUUAUCACACUAUUUAACAGAAUAGUGAGGACUACUAGCUAAUACUAUCAUCCGGACCAUCACUCCGUUCCCCUACUCGUCCCAGCUACGUUUUCAUUUCCUGAAGAGAACAGUGAAAGAAAGGGUAAGCUCAACUAGCCCAGUAAGAAAUAUUAUGACUAAGAUAAUGCAGAAUAAAUUAUCAUUAGUCUUCAACAAUGUUAAACUGAUAAAAUACAAUAGACAUCAAGUUUAACUGCAGCGGAAUAAGCAAUCCAUUAAAAGAGUCAAGUAGAGAAUAAAAUCUACUAUNNNNNNNNNNNNNNNNNNNNNNNNNNNNNNNNNNNNNNNNNNNNNNNNNNNNNNNNNNNNNNNNNNNNNNNNNNNNNNNNNNNNNNNNNNNNNNNNNNNNCAGGUCCGGUGUAAAACACACAGACAGGAUAUUUCAACAGAAUAAUAACAAAGACGGAACCAUGUCCGGUGUAAAACACAGACAGGAUGUUCCAACAGAAUAAUAAAGACAGAAUAAUAGAAGAAUGUCACCAAGUAUAGGGUAGUCCGCGUAUACAGGUUAUUCUAACAGAACAAUAAAGAAAUGGAAUAACAGAAGUUCUCUUCUUGAAUACAAAAGAAAUAACACCCCUUACCGUAAAAGAAACUGAAUAUAAGAGUAGGGAAGUAGCAGAAUACUUUUUUAUAAUUUCUCUAUAAUUUUUCUCUCUGGAGUUUCAGUGAAUUCGUAAGAAAUAAUGAAGGAAUGAACUUCUAUUUAUAAGAGAAUGGAAGUGUACUGUUUAUAAACGAAUUAUUUCUGCAGAAUUAUUUCUUCUAAAUACAAUAAAGUCAAUCAACUAACCAAUAAAAUCACAACAAAAAUUAAAAUAUAAUACAUAUAUAUAAACACAUGUUUUCAACUUAUAUAUAUCAAUAUUAUAUAUACACCACUUAAUUUUUCUCCCUCAUAACUAACAUCUAUCCCCCACCCACCCAAUAAUCAAAUUCAUUACACUCUUACACAUCACUAUCACACUACCACUUUUCCACUAUUUUCCAUUCACACACCCAUCACUUUCACAUCUCAUUUUCUCCCACCAUAUACUCAAUACACACAUAUACUUCCAUACGUAUACUCUUCCAUUUCCAAAAUCAUUUUCCCAACACAUAUGGGCCCCACAUGUGGGCCCCACCUUUAAAAAUUUUUCUAUCGAUUAUUUUAAAAAAUGGAUAAAUAGGAAUCCAUAAAAUAAGUAGACUUCAUAAAAAAAAUCACCUUAAUAAUUUUAACAACAUUUAUCAUCUUUAUUACAAUUCACAAUAUUAAUCGACCAGGUCNNNNNNNNNNNNNNNNNNNNNNNNNNNNNNNNNNNNNNNNNNNNNNNNNNNNNNNNNNNNNNNNNNNNNNNNNNNNNNNNNNNNNNNNNNNNNNNNNNNNUAGCAAUAAUUGAACAAAACUGAGUGACUUCUCACGUAAGCAUCAAUAAUCAAUACCGUGUGCUACUAUGCAACCACGCGUAUUACUGUACUUUUACUACCGAGUAGUUCAACAGUAUUAACGGUAAAACUUCCGCCGUUAUUUUCAAUAAAAUAUUUUUGUCGUUUUCUCAAUCCGACAAUAAUUUCGUUGUGGGGUCCACCAAUGAUUGUGUCGUCGUACGAAUAUUCUCCGACCAAUCGAAUAUUAAAUGACAACUUGCAUACUUUGCAAAAUUUUCAAAUACUACCCACAACUAUAACAUUAUCUCAAAUCCACACCUUAAUAUUCAAAAAAAAUAUUUCGAGAAAUUUAAAUCUUUAUUUAUAAAAUCUAGGGUCUCACAAAUUAGAGAUAAAAAAAUUAAUAUUUUCACAAAAAUUUUCUCAUUUCAUGUGAGAUUCGUAUAUCAUUUUCUUUUUAAUUACUACAAGCUUUGAUGACCAAAUGAAAUAAACCUUCUCUCUCCCAAAAAAGUAAAAUUGAGUAUAACUUUUUCCCACUUGUAGAAAGAGAAAAACAAGACAUGACAUUUUAUUAGAGAGAAAAACAAGACAUGUCGUGAAUCUAAAAAUAGUAUGGUAUGGAUUAUGGGCUGAAAAAUGGUUAACCGGUUAACUAACUAUAUUUGUUUUAAAAAAUAUGGGUCCAAAUUUUAACCAACCUGAAUAAAUAAAAAUGGUUAACCAACUUAUUUGGUUCCAAUUAAUAUGAUUUGACCCAACAGUUAAUUAAUUAUAUUGCCAGAUUUAUUUUUGACUAAAAAAUUACUCCUACAAACUCCAACGCCCUUUUUCUCUACCUAUAUAGACUUUUUGCUUAUAGGCCAACAGUUAAUUAACUAUAUUGUCAGAUUUAUUUAUGACUAAAAAAUUACUCCUACAAACUCCAACGCCCUUUUUCUUAACUCAUAUAGGCUUUUUGCUUAUAGGGAAAUUAAUUUCACAUUGACCGCUAUUGGUUACUUAACUUUUCUUUUUCUUUUUCUAUAUAUGCCCUCGCUAUAUCUUUUUUUUAUAUAUACCCUUCCCUCAAUAACGAUCCAUACAAGUAUAUAACUAAUCAAGAAAUUUGAUUGAUCAUUUUAAGAAUUAUUUGGACAUCUACUUAUAAUUUUUAAAUAUAAAUUACAUAAUUAUAAUAACACAUAUUUANNNNNNNNNNNNNNNNNNNNNNNNNNNNNNNNNNNNNNNNNNNNNNNNNNNNNNNNNNNNNNNNNNNNNNNNNNNNNNNNNNNNNNNNNNNNNNNNNNNNAUUGAUCAUUUUAAGAAUAAUUUUGACAUCUAUUUAUAAUUCUCAAAUAAAAAUUACAUAAUUAUAAUAACACAUUCAAAUUUAAUGAAUAUAAUUAUGAUUUGAUAUUUAUACAUACAUAAAUUUCACAAUAAAGUAAAAGAAAAAUCAUAAAAAAAACAUUAAUGUCACACAUUAUAUAUAUAUAGUAGAAUGAUUCAUAAAAUGUAUUUGUUAUGAAUUCUUAUUGGGCAUACACCGUCUACACCAUUAAAAACAAGCACCGGUCAGGAUUAGAAAACGGACAUAAAAAUAAAUAAACAUCAUUAGCGGACGCUAAUUAUAAUAAAAAAAUUUGACAUUAAGUAAGAUUUAGAAUUUAUAAACUAAGAUUUAGGAAUUAUUAAUUAGAGUUUAGGGUUUACUACGGAUUAAUAAACCCUUAAUCCUAGUUAAUAAAUCCUAAAUCUUAAUUAAUAAAGUCAAAUUUUUUAUCAACUACAGUUCCUAAUCCUAACGUCGAUUUUAAUUUUUCUUUUAUUAUUUUUAAUGAUAUACUUAUAACAUAACAAAUACUUGUUAUAAAAUGUAUCAUUACAAUUGAUUUAUUUUGAUAAACAAAAAAUAUAUGAGAAAUAUAGCUAAAUAAUAAACAAAAAAUAUAAAAACAGUAUAGUUUCAAGCUUUUAAAUCAUUAAUAUUACAAAUGAAUUUCAUAAUAAACAUUUUUAAUCACUCACUUAAUAACGCUCUAUAAGUGAAAAUAUCAAAAGAACAUUUAUCUUUGCAAUAAUGAGUAAAAGAAAGAAAUCAUUAUAAUAAUUAAAAUAUCCCCACAAUAUACCAUUAAACACCAACUUCCAGCUCAAAAGCGAUACAUAAAUAAAUACAAAAACAACUCCUCCAAACCAAUUUAUUCUUCAAGACUUAAAAUAGAAUAAGGAAAAGAUUGCUCCAAUCUGGUGAAGAAAGCAAUUUGUUGAAACCAACCUUCGGUCUGCUAGGGGCAAUAGCCAACUACGUGGUGGCAGCAGCAGCAAAGGAAGUAGUGAUUUCAAAGAAAAUUUAUGAAGUCGUCCAGAAAUUUUCAAAAACCAAGUAUUAGUAUAAUAACAAGGGAGGCUUGAACAAUAUGUCAAGUUGAAUAUAGGAGUGUAUAUCAUUAGGAUAACCAGUAAAAAGAUUGCAAACACAUAAUUGUGAACAAAAUGCCAUGACAAGUUUUUAUCUUGCUCCAGGACAUGAACCCUGAAUGUAAAAGACCUAACAAAUUUGCAACUUGAUAGAAUGCAUGCAUAAAACAAGGAGUAUAACAUGGUUUGCCAUCUAUUCAUAAAUAGCUUACACAGCAAAUGAAGUACUAAAAUAACAUCAAAUAACAAAAGAUCCAGUUUAAUAAAAACAUAAUUCAAGAUACUGCUUAAAAUAGGUGAAGUUUCGAACCAAAAUUUCCAACACUACAAAGAUAAACCCCAAAUUAUGGGCAGGAAAAAGACCGGCACUAAAACAUAACUUGUUCCAGUCAAUUCCCUGCCUUUCAAUCUCAUUCAUGUCUUAAACAACAGAUGAAACAAAACGAGACACCUAAGCAAAAUAAAAUCAAUAAUCUAAACAGUAUUUUUGAAGCAGAAAUGAAAUUACUGCGACACACCCAACCACUUGGUAAAGUUUUCAAACUCGGUAUAAUCACUGUCUGAGAUCAUGGUCUUGUACCAACCCUUUCCAGCUGCCCUAAUCUUGGUUGCCUCCUCCUGCAAGAAAAAAUAACAGAGCAAGUCAAUUAACAACUUUGUAAAACCUACCAUAACAAAAAGCCCUUGGAUUCUUAUAGAAACCAAAAACUGGAUUUAGGGUAUUAUCUCUACCACAGCUUCAAUAGAAAAGGCCAACAAAACUGAAAACCCAAAAAAUGUUUAGUGCACUACUUCUCCGAAAGUUUAUUCAAAUUGUCACAUUGAACUCUGAAGCUAGUGUGCAAAUAAAUUGAAAAAACAUAGCUGAUUUCAAAAGAUUACAUAAAAAUUGUUUUUUUGGGAGGGGGGGCUAAAAUUUUACAAAAACAGAUACAACAAUAAAUUACAUCAAUAAAAUAAUUGAUAUAACUGAUAUAAUAAGUGUGAUGAAUUUCCGUUAAAGAUGACAGAACAAAUAAUAGCACAUAAUUAAGACCAAAUGCUGCACUGUUCAUUAUAUGGUAUAGAUACCCCGACUUCUUGAAACUAGAAUUGAUCAAAAAUUCUGUAUAGCCCCAUGUAACUUUUUAGUUGGAUAUGUGAAUGAAAACAUUUUUAUGAGGAAACAAAGUAAAGCCUUAAUCUAAACAUGUCUUCGUUACAGAGCUAGUGAGCUGCAAUGGCCUUAGACAUGCUAAUUCACCAUUUUGUUCUCUAAAAGGAAUAUAGACUCGUUAAAUUCUACAUGAGAGGACAAAAUGUAUUAAAGAUAAUAUAUAUUAGAACCCUGAAUAUGAAAAACCAAAUGACUACAAAGUCAUUUCUACCUUCACAGAUUGCUACAGCAAUCAUCAAAAUCUAGGUUAAAUUUGCAGCAAAGUACCACAAACAAAUUAAUCAAUACCAACUUCUUCACAAACAGGAAUCAAAUACUAUUAUUAGCAAUAUUUUAAAUAACAAACAUCAAACAAGAGAAUGUCUAGAAAACAAUACAUCUAGCUUAAGAAAAUAAAUCAUGUAUAGUGAAAAUUAAAGAUUCCUAACAACUAGAAAAAGCUUCCAGGGCAAUUAUCCUAAUAUGCCAACUCUAUUUAUAUAACAACCACCACAUAUUAUGUUUAUAAGCAAAUAUAAGAAGACAUUUAUAAAUCAUAAAUUUAAUUUAAAUUUAAAACAAUAAAAAGUUCAUACUUAUAAUAUAUAUAGAUAUGCAUAAGAAAACACAUGAAAUACAUAUAAACUACCAAGCAAAAUAACUUGAAAAUUCAGAGAAUAUACCUUUGUCACUGGCAUCCUCUUCUUAUCAAGCUUCUCCUUCUUAGCCUUUAAGCGCUGCGCCUCAGCCAAAAGAGCCAUCCUCCUAGCAGUCUUAGCGUACGGGUUCAGCUUCAACAGAGUGUUCAGAUUUUUCAGCGGGUUCUUCUUCAUAGGAGCCCUCUUCACCUCCUUUUUAAUAGGUCUCACCACACUCUGAACCUCAUCUGAAUUAAUAAUCCUAGCGAGAUCAGCAUUCACCAUUUUCGCUCUCGGCAGCACGUAUCCCCUCUUCUUCUCAGAAGGCUUAUCAAAAGACCCAUAAAUGGAAUCCAAUUUCUCAAAGGCAGACUUGGUCCAGAUGAUAAACCUCCCAAGAUGACCACCAGGGGCAAGCUUCAAAAGAUUGAGGCGCUCCACAUUCGCGAUCUCAACACCAGGGAUGUUGCGGAAGGCCUUCACGAGCUUGGAGCCCUCAGUCCCGUACACAAUCAGUGGUCCCUUGCGAGAAAUGUAACGACGGUUGCGCAUUUUCCCCUUUCCAGGACGGAUUCCGGUGCUGUCUUUCGCCUUCUCUGCAUCAGGAUAAGCACCCACCUGUUUGAGAACCUUGAUCGCGUUCGAGGUUUUCUCAACGCUUUCAACUGAAUCGCUAAUGACAAGGGGAAGCUCCGGAACCGAUUCGAUGCGGUGUCCACGAGCCAUAACCAAAGAGGGAACGGCGGAUGCAGCUAUGGCCGAAGCGACGGCGAAUCGCUUCUGGUUAGUGUUGAUCCUGCUGUGCCAUUUGCGCCAGAUCUUNNNNNNNNNNNNNNNNNNNNNNNNNNNNNNNNNNNNNNNNNNNNNNNNNNNNNNNNNNNNNNNNNNNNNNNNNNNNNNNNNNNNNNNNNNNNNNNNNNNNNNNNNNNNNNNNNNNNNNNNNNNNNNNNNNNNNNNNNNNNNNNNNNNNNNNNNNNNNNNNNNNNNNNNNNNNNNNNNNNNNNNNNNNNNNNNNNNNNNNNNNNNNNNNNNNNNNNNNNNNNNNUAUAUAUAUAUAUAUAUAUAUAUAUAUAUAUAUAUUUACAAGUGUGGUUGGGUUAAUGGGCUUUAGGUUUAAAUCUCAAGGGACCAAAAUGUUUGUGUGUAUAUUUGGGCCAUUGAUUGAUUUAGAUAAAGUGGAGAAAACUAUCCGGCGAUAAUUAGUUUAAGAAUAAAAUACAACGUCUACUAUUACUGCAAAUUACAAUUUAAAACGAGGCUAAAUUAGGUUUUAGUUUAGUAGUAAGUUGUAAAAUUAUACUACUACUACUACUUACCAUCAUCCUUGUAAAUAAAAUAAUUAAUAGUAAUUAUCAAGCUUAUUUUAAUUUCAAAUAAUGGGGUUGGAAUAAAAAAACCAGCUCAUUUCCAAAUACACGAAACCACAACAACAAAACAGUUGAUAAAUCAUUUAGGAAACAAAAAAUAAUUAGCAUUAUUAUUAGCAAAAAUCAACUUUUAAGCAUUACUAAUAUUUAAUGUUGUCUGUCUGUUCUUCCCACUUGCUUUGAUCUUUUGGUUCUCAUAUGUAAUUUUGUUCAAGAGUGGUAGUAAUUUAAUUGGCCAAUUCUUCUCAUUUGGUUUUUCAUAAAUUCAAAUUCAUCCAACUAUUCUCCCUCCUACCCACUGGUUUUGUUUUAGUUGUAGUUGUAGGAGACAUUGAAGCUUAUAAUAAUUUUCAGUCUUUAUGACUGUUUUUAUAAAUAAUAAAAAAAAAAACCACCUGCAACAUUCCACUGAAAAAAACUGACAGCAGUGUACUGAAUCAAUUGGAACCAAAGAGAAUAAUUUCAUCUAGAGCUUGCAUUUCAAUCAGCAGUUCAGCACAGUUUUACACAUUUUUUUCACCACCGCUCUGCUCCGGUCUGCCUGCCUAUUGUAAUCAGCACAGUACCUUUUUUUUAAAAGUAAUCAAUAACUUGAAAGCAUUAUUGUAAUUGCCAGUCAAUCUUCAUCAUCAGAACUUCCCUCAUCACUGCUAUAAUCACUACUAUCAUCAUCGAUGUCGAGCUGAACGUGCCGAACUUGUAUUGGCUCGGGUAAUAUCCCUGGAGGAGGAACAGGUCGAGAUUGUUGCUCUUCCAUCCGAGGAGCAGCAGGAAGAGAAUCCAAUGGGGGAAGUGAAAUUGGGUCCCCAGGCUUCCAUCCAGGUGGAGGAAGGAUCGGUAAAUCAGUUGGCAACACCACAGGCAUCCCAGGUUUCCAUCCUGACGGUAUGACAAAAUUCGGAGGAAUCAUACCCUGAAUUGCAGCCAGGUUACCAAGUGGAUUGGAUUCCAUCGGCUGUGUAGUAGGGACAUCAAUGAAAGGCUNNNNNNNNNNNNNNNNNNNNNNNNNNNNNNNNNNNNNNNNNNNNNNNNNNNNNNNNNNNNNNNNNNNNNNNNNNNNNNNNNNNNNNNNNNNNNNNNNNNNGACGAUAAUCAGCAUAAUCAUCAACAAGGACGUCAAGAACAUGCUCGGCUUCUCUUAGUUUGUUAGCAAAUGCAAGGAUUGCAGAAUCUUUGGACCGAAUUUCAUGAGUGAUUUUUUGCUUAGCAUCUUGAAGAUCAAGAAUUUCUUGAAGUUCUGCGACUGCUUCGAAGAGCUGAGUUUGAAGCGUUGUAAAGAGGGGGAUGAUUUCUUUCAGGGAAGAAGGAUGGGAAUCUAGAGGAAUUGGUGUCAAGGAUUGGGUUUGAGAUGAUAAAAAGGAAGGGAGCGAACCGCGGAAGGCACUUAGCCAAUGGGGUCGAUUGGGUGAAACUUCAAAGAGUCUUGACGCAAGGGACGCCAUUUGGAUGAGAAGAGAUUGAGCUCUAGAGAGCGGCGGAAGGAGAGGAAGCAGGGUAGAAGAGGUGCUAGUGGUUGUGGUCGAGAGAUUUGACUGCUGAUGAGAGUGAUGAGAUUGGGAAAUUUGGGAGGAGAAUUUGGGAGGAGUAGGAGGAGUUUGAAGAGAGGGAGAAUUUGGAUUUGGCAGGCCAAGCCUGGCUGGUGAUUGUACGAUUUGGUGUGGAACAUUUUGUAGCAUUUUGGAAUCCCUACAGAUACAUAAAUUACAUUUUAGAAAUCACAAUAUUGCAGAAAAAAAUAACAGGUAACAGUACAACAUUUGGUCAUAAUCAAAAUCCUAGAGAAUAAUAUAAUGUGAAGAAAGCUAAUAACCUACCUCCAAAAGCUCAACUUGAAGAAAAUCAAAACCCAAGUUUAUCAAGAUUUUGCAUCCCACCGCCUGAAAAUCAGAAUUUACAAUCAAAUAGCAGUCAAGAAGAGCUGAAAUUAGUGUAUGCAUCACACACUUUAUGUACUCAGUGUUUCGAUCUGAAUGUAUAUGUAAAUCAACUAACAAGGGGAUAGAAGGUGAGUCAAGGAGAAGUAACUAACCGAUGGAUGAGUUUUGGCUGCCCAGAGUUGCCUUCGCUGGAGCUGCGUCGUGUUGAUUUGGGGGAAAGCGACAGAAAUGUCAAACUUCUCACUUCUACGAAAGGCAAUAAACCUAAAUAAUAAACAUAUAUAAAAAUAGUCCAAAAUAGUUUUAACUAAUAAACUUACUAACAGUAAAAACUUUUAAUCUACUAAAUACUCCCAAAUUAAAUAAAAUUAUAUAAUUCUCCGAUAAAAAGACACAAUACAUUUCUAAGCAGAAUCAACUUCUUUGUGCUUUCUCAUCUCACUAUAUAUAUAUAAUUUUAUUCAGGGGCGGAUCCAGGAAUUUUGCUCAGCAGAGACGUAUUUUAACUAAUUUUUUUAUUGAAGUUGAAUAAAGAAAAUUUGAACUAAUCAUAAUAUUAACUGUUCAUAAUAAUAUUUACAAAUUACAAUGCUAUCCUCUUAGAAACGAGGUUUGAUUUUGAUUUUCUCUAGAACCUUAACUUAGAAAUUUGCUUGAAUACCCAAUCCCAACAACCAUUUUUUUUCCAAAUAAUAAUUCUAAAGAAAAUCACAAAUCACAUUUGAGAAGUCAACACAAGCAAAAAGGAAAAUUGAGAUCAAUCUUCAAACUAAAAAAUAUUAGCUACAGCCUACAACACAAAAAAAAACAGUUUGAUUCAAGAAAGAAUCAUAAAAAUCUGAUAACAUGCAUGAUAGGAAUCACUAAUCAGUGGCUAAAAAACUUAAAUAAACCAAAUUACUUAACAUAGAACCCCAACCAGGGGCGGAUGAAUUUACAGUUUUCUUUUCAAAGUCACUAUAAGAUAUUUUAAUAUUCAAAAUUAAAGUGAUUCAUGAAUUUAUUAUGUCAGUAAGUGACUUUCAUUAUAACUAGUAUACAUUUUUUUUCCUCCUACUUCAAAUAUACAUGAAUACUGAAAUCAAUUACUACUAAUUUGAAGAGAAGAUAUACCCAGAUUCCGAUUCGAUAAAUGGUAAUUUCCCGGGAACAUAUAUUCCCCUAAUAACAACUUCUAACAAGCCCUAAAUCAAAUAACAAAACUAUUCAAUUUCAAAUAACUAAUAAUUCCCCCUCCCAUUUGCAUUCCAGACUCUUGUCUUAAUAAAUUAUUGGAAUUCAAUUUUCCAUCAAAUUAAGGGUUUGGUAAGUACUGUAAACAUAAUUGAGCUUUAGGAGUAAUUAACCCCAAAUUCCAGGCGUUUGUCUAAAUAAACCCUUGAAAUUCAAUUUUACAUGAAAUUAAAAGUUUGCUAAGUAUUGUAGACAAAAUUACAAACAGAAAUGAGCUUAUGGAUAUGAAUAUGUACACAGAGAAAAAAAGAUUGAACAAGGAGUAUCUGUUAAGAGUUCAAUAAAAGCUUACAGAGCAGAGAACCAGUGGAAAAGGAGGUCCCAAUUGGAGUAAUGGGAAUCCUAGGAAAGGCUCUUGCUGGGGAA